UGCCAUUAUUAACAAGUCAGUCUCUGCAUUUUCAGAAACCUAUUAAAACGUCCUUACAUAAUCAAACCGUUAACAAAUCAGUCCUUCCAUCCACUGUUAUCCUCUUUUCCGUUAAAAAUAAAAUGAAAAGACCAAAAUAACCUUAGUGUAACUUUUCCCUAAAUCGAUAAUCUCUCUUCUCCGAUCCCUAACCUCUCUCUUCUCCCAAAAAUGAAAACCUCUCUUCCCAAAUCCCUAAUUUCUCUCUUCUUCCCUAAUCGAUAACCUCUCUCUUCCUAAAUCCCUAACUUUAUGUCUUCUCCCAAGUUGAUAACUUCUCUUCUCUAAUCUCUAACUUCUCUCUUCUUCCCUAAAUCCUCUAUUCUCCAUUUUGUUGGUUUUUGUCGAAGAGAAAUUAGUUUCUGUUGAAGUGAAGUUGUGGUCCCGAUUUUGUUGGUUUCUGUCGAACAAGUGGGGAAAGAUAACUUUUUGUGCUUUCUUUUGUUUGUUUUCUAUGGAUGUGUGACCAUAAAGUUUGUAUUAUAGUAAAGCAUGUGGGUACCACUUACUGUUACUGAUAGUUUUAGUGUAUUUUUUUUUGGGAGAUUUUAUAUAAUUAAAGAAUGUGUGAUUUAUAUGUGCAGGUCUGAAGACAUGGUUGUGGAAGAGAGAUUUACUUUAGUGUUAACAUAUGAAAAUAAAAUUGAUUCCAUAUAUAAUGUCUCCAUUGGAAGGUAUUCGUACAUAUCCUUGUUGUCUGAUGUUUAUAAGAUGUUUAACAUAGCUGCAUCAUUUGUUACGUUUGUUGCUGGUAGUGGGAUGAGCGUAGAAAAUGAUGAUGAUUUAAUGUUGGCUUUUGAGUUAUACAAACCUAGUCAUAGAUUGCCUUUGACUGUACAAGUAAAGGGGGUCCCUCUUAACACUAAGAUGCCUGAUGAUGACGAUGAUGAUGAUGAUGUUAGUAUUAUUGGUGAGGGCAGUAAUACUGGUGAGGGCAUUAACCUUAGUGAGGGUGGUAAUACUGUUGAGGAUAUUAACCUUGAUGAUGCCUUAGGUAGAAAUACUCCCCCAUUAAGUAGGGAUGGGUCCACAAGAGGUAGGGGCAGGAGUGUGCCAUUAAGAGAAAAGGGAGGAAGAAGCAGUUUUACUAGAGGUAGAGGGAUAAGACAGGAAAGGGUUAGUGAAAGUGGGCAGUUAGGGGAAGAGGCCAAUGAAUCACCACAAAGUGAUUCUGAAAGUGAUGUAUCAUUCAAUGACAGUGAGGUUGGAGAUGAUUUACCUGAAGAAGUUGUAUUUGACAAUGAGAUUAGUACUGAGGAGUCAGAUGGGUUAUCAGAUUAUGCUAGUGACAAUGACAAAGAGAUUGAAGAUAGUGAGAAUGAGUCUUAUGAUCCAAAUAAGAGGAAGAAAAAAUAUAUUGAUCCUUAUCAUGGCAUGUAUGAUGAUCCCUUCCAACACAAUGAAGGGGAAGGGAUUUUGUUUAAAGAGGGCCAAGUUUUUAAUGACAUUGCAACUUUGAGGAAUGCGAUGAGAGAUUAUGCUAUUAAGGGGGGAUAUGAUAUUACAAGAGUUAAAAAUGACUCUACUAGAUUAACAGCUAAGUGUUCCAGUACAGGAUGUCCUUGGAGGUUUCAUGCAUCAGUUCUGUCUGACCAAGUCACUUUCAUAGUUAAGACUCUGCAUGAUGAGCAAACAUGCAUAAGACCAUUAAGAAAUGAAAAUUUGAAUUCAAACACUAAGUGGAUAGUAGAAAAACUAAGGGGAAAACUGAGGGCAGACCCUGACAUGAGUUAUGAACUCAUGCAGCAUGAGUUGAUGGAAAAAUGGAGUGUGGAAGUUCCUGUGUGGCAAUUAUAUAGAGCCAGACGCAAGGCUAUAGAUGAGAAUAUGGGCAUGCAUUGUGAAAGUUUCAAAAAACUUAAGAAAUAUGUCCAUUAUUUGUAAAUAUAUAACCCAGGUACAGUUGUAAAAAUUCAGCCAGCUCCAAGGGUUAAAGAAGAUGAUCCUUUUGUUUUUCAAAGAAUAUGGAUUAUGUUUGAUGCUAUAAAGUUUGGAUUUGAGAAUGGUUGCAGAACCUUUAUAGGAUUAGAUGGUUGUCACUUGAAGAGUCCAUAUGGAGGGAUUUUCCUAGUUGCAGUCAUACUGGAUGGAAAUAGAGGUGUGCUACCUCUUGCAUUUUCUAUAGUUGAAGCAGAAUGUAGUGAUAGCUGGACUUUUUUCCUAGAGAAUCUUUAUUCUUGCAUUGGUGGAGGAACCGAUGAUAGGCCUUUAACUAUUAUGCCAAAUAGGCAAAAAGUAUGAAUUAAUAUUCACUUUUUUUUAAUUUAGCAUAUUGAAUUAUAUGCUAUUAAUUUAAGUUACUAACUAUUUUUUUGGUUUUAGGGACUGAUGCUGUCAAAAAUAUAUUUCCUAAUGCAUCUCAUAGAGUUUGUUGCAGGCAUUUAUACAUGAAUUUCAAGAAAGAGUUCCCUGGACUCAUGCUCAGAGAUGAUUUUUGGAAUGCUGCAAAGAGUACUCAUUCUUAUGAGUUUUGGCUUCACAUGAAGAAUUUGAAGCCCAAGCGAGAUCAAAAGCCAUAUGACUGGUUGAUCAACAUACCCUUCAGUCAAUAGAGUAGACAUGCAUUCUGGCCUGAAGCUAAGUGUGACAAUUACACUAACAACAUGACCGAAUUAUUCAAUGCAUGGAUAGUGAAAUUGAGAGGUUUGCCUAUUAUCAAUAUCAUUGAAUCAAUUAGGCAAAAACGUAUGGUUAGGUUGCAUAAAAGAUCUGUUAAAGCUCAAACAUGGAAAGAGAUAGUUAUACCAAGAGCAAAGAAAGUAUUGAAUAAAAUCAUUACUGCCAAUAGGUUUUUUAAGUUGCUCCCUGGUAGAAAUGAAGAGUAUGAGGUUCAUAAGGGUCCAUGUAGGUUUGCUAUAAGUUUAGCUAAAAGGACAUGCAGUUGUGGAUGGUGGAAUAUAAGUGGUUUACUAUGCAAGUAUGCUGCCAGAGCAAUUGCAUAUGUUAGGGGUAAUAUUGAAGAGUUUUGCCAUGAAUAUUACAUUGUGCAGUGCUAUUCAAGAGUUUAUGCAGGUGCCAUACAUCCUAUUCCUCAAAUUGAGCUUGAACCUGAUAAUGAACACCCAUCAAUGUUGCCAGCUUCUUUGAGGAGGCAACCAGGAAGGCCAAGAAAGGCUAGAAAGAGAGAUGAGAGUGAACCACCAGCAAGAGGAAGGAGGACAGCAACUGUCACUUGUGCUAGGUGCUUACAAAUAGCCCACAAUAAGAGAACUUGUCAAUAUGUUGCUGUUGGGGUAACUAUACCUUUGUUUGCUUGCAUAUAAUGAAUCUAUUUUAACCUUUUUAACCUUUUUAUGUAUUUUUCUAAUUGCAGGCAAAUAUGGCUGCAAGUCAAAAGAAGAGGAAACACACUACUGCAUCAGGUGCAGGGACUUCAAGAGUGGUUAAUACUAAUCAAGUGGGAUUAAGUGGUGGACCAACAACCUAAAGGAGCCUUUGAAAUAUCAAAUGAUCUUUUUGAGAAUUUUGUUAGUUGAUGGGAUAUGGUUUGUACAUUUUGGGAAAACAUGUUUUUUGGGACAUUGGAUUGUAAAUCUGAGAAUAUUAUAAAUCUGUGCACAGAUUCUUUUUUGGGGGAGUUUAUCAUAGAUAUUGGUACAGUGCUACAGAUAUUGGCCUUACUUGACCAUUAAAAUGGCAGUAAUAUAUGUAUGACAUUGUAAUGAUCAAGUCUGAUUUUGUAAUACAUAUUUAAACAAAAAGGACAUAUUAAUGAAGUUAUGCUUUUAAUUUCAUUUGCUCAGCUCCACUUUUAUUCAUUGUGCAUUUAUAAGAUUUGUUUGUACUUGAUAUUAAGUUACAGUUGGAUAAAUAUAACAGUAUCACUCUUCUAUUACUUUUAAUUUUACAACUUUUUAGUUCAUCUAUUUAAAUAUUCCAAAUUUCUCAGUCCUUUAAGUUUUAAAAUUUACAAUUUUUCAGUCCUUAUAUAUUAAAUUUAGAAACUAUUACGUCCUCCAGUUUUGAAUCAUUACAACUGUUUGGUCAUUCAUUUUAAUCAUUCACUUACAAGAAACUAAUAUGCUAAAAUUCCAGUCAUCCAACUUAGAUAAACAGUACAUAAUUCAUUCAUACACAAAGAACAUACUACAAUCUGGUUGAAAAUAACUUCUAACUUCUGCAGCUUUAUAUAUUGCAUCUAAACAAUUUUUUAAGGUGUUUUUACAGCAAACACUAUCAAGAGUAACAACAUAAUUAUCAUACAAUUCUUCAUCUGGUUCAAAAUAGCUUCAAUCUUCUGUAGCUUUACAUAUAAUUUUUUUAUCUCUUCAUUAAUCUUCAUCAACUCUUCUUUAGUCUCUGCAAUCGUCCUUGAUAAGUUGGCCUUGAAUACCUCUAACCCUUCACCUAUACUGUUUGAUGUUGGAGAGUUCACAUUUGUUGGAAUGCACCACCCAAGAAAUGACCCAUAUUUGUUAUCUCGACAGUAAUAAUACAACUUGUUUGGAUUACUAACAGAUUCAGAUAUGCGAACCCCCGCUCUUUUUCCAUAGCAGCAAUUCACAUUCAUGUAACCACCAUCCCAGCUUCCCAUCGAUUCGUUGAUGCCAGACAUUCUCGCGAAGAUAGAAUGAAUCCUUUAGGUGCUUGAUCGUCGGCUAUUAUGAACAGAGGUAGGAUCCUUUCAAUGCUUGAUCGAUGUUGAAGAUAGUCCCUCACAGAGAGUAUGCUGAAGCUCGUCGAGGGUGAGAGAGUAAAUGGAGGAUUGCCUGCCGAGAGAUGACGAGAGGUUGCUUUUAAGAUUGUGAUCGGACUGUUAUGGCAAACCUAACCAUACAUUUCUACCUAAUAGGGAUUGAAAAGGGUAAAAUUGGAUUUUCAAAAUAUUGUCUCUCCUUUUCCUCUUAUUUUUAACGGAAAAGAGGGUAACAGUGGAUGGAAGGACUAAUUCGUUAAUGGUUUGAUUAUGUAAGGACGUUUUAGUAGGUUUCUGAAAAUGCAGGGACUGACUUGUUAAUAAUGACAAUACCCAAGGACUAAAUUGUAAAUCUUCCUAAAUUCUAUUAAGUAAAAAAUAUUAAUUUUAAAUAAUUUAGAUCAACAUUAGUUCGAUGGGCUAUAAUUAAAAUAAUAUUUUAAAAUUUAAACACUAAAAAGUGUUAAAAAGAUUUUUUUUUAUAAAAAUUAAAUUAUUUUUAAAGAAAAAUAAUUUAUUUUUUCAAAAGAUAAUUUAUUUUUAGAUUUUGAGGAUUUUUUUAACACUGUUAUAUAUAAUUUUAUAAGUAUUUUUAUUUUUUAAAUGAUAAUUACAGAAUACAUAAUAAAUUCGACGCAAGUUUUCCUCUGUGGUCCUUUUAUAACUCGAUACUCUCGCAUUUUCCUUUUCUUAAACCUAACUUCUUCUUUUUCCUUUCCCAUGAAAGACAAUCUGCGUUAAUUGACUAUCGAUGAAGAAGAAAAUAUUGUUACUCCUAUUAAAAGUUCCAAAAAUAUUCCGAUUAUCACUUAUGAUUUCUGUAUGGUGAGGAGGUUUCUCACAUACAAUCCAAUACAUUUUAUUUUUGAUGAAAACAAAAACUUUUAGUUCUCAUAUGAAAUUUUUUCGUAAUUUUUUAUAUUUUAAUAGUUGUUUCUCAAUCAAUAGAUAAUAAUUGGGAAGAAACCUUUCGUUAAUGUGGAAGAGUGAUGUGUCUUUUUCUGUGGUUGGUUUUUCUUUAAAUUUUAUGGGAGAUUUACAAUUUAGUCCCUGGGUAUUGCCAUUAUUAACAAGUCAGUCCCUGUAUUUUUAGAAACCUAUUAAAACAUCCUUAUGUUUUCUCUCCGUUAACGAAAUAGUUCUUCCGUCUAUUUUUACCGUUAAAAAUAGAGUAAAAGACUAAAUUACCCCCCAUUAUUUUUCUCUUCCUCCUCCUCCUUUCUUUUCUUCUUCAUCAAUUCUUCUUCCUUUUGCUUCUUCUUCUUUUUCUUCUUCUUCUUCUGCUUCUGCUUCUUCUCCUUCUUCUCCUUCUUCUUCUUUUGCUUCUUUUUCUUCUUUUUCUUCUUUCUCUUGUUCUUCUUCUCAUUCUUCUUCUUCUUCUUCUCAUUCUUCUUCUUCUUCUUCUUUUUCUUCUUCUUCUUCUUCUUCGGAGGAGGAGGAGGAGGAGGAGGAGGAGGAGGAAAAAAAUGAUAGGGACUAUUUCGUUGACAAAAAAAAUGAUAAGGACGUUUUAAUAGAUCUGAGAAAAGAUAAAGACUAUUUCAUUGACAAAAAGAAACAAUAAGGACGUUUUAAUAGAUUUCUAAAAAUAUAGAGAGGGACGAUUUCGUUGACAGAAAGAAACGAUGAGAAGGGACUAUUUCGUUGACAUAAAGAAACGAUAAUGAUGUUUUAAUAGAUAUGAGAAAAGAUAGGGACUAUUUCAUUGACGGAAAAAAACGAUAAGGACAUUUUAAUAGAUAUGAAAAAAGAUAAAAAUAUUUUAAUAGAUUUUUGAAAAUGUAAGGACUAACUUGUUAAUAAUUGCAAUAUACAAGGACUAAAUAAAUGGUUUUAUUUGAGGGUAAAAUUGAAUUUUAAAAAUUUUCUCUCUCCUCAUUUAUCUAAUUUUAACGGAAAAUAUGACGGAAGGACUAUUUCGUUGACGAAAAUAAAACAUAAGGACAUUUUAAUAGGUUUCUAAAAAUACAGGGACUGACUUGUUAAUAAUGGCAAUAUCCAGGGACUAAAUUGUAAAUCUUCCAAAUUUUAUUGAUUCAGUUGUUUCGGAAGAUAAUAUUCAAUGGAGAUUUACUAGUUAUUAUGGGUUUCCGGAAUCGCAACGACGACGUCAGUCUUGAAAUUUUAUUCGAAUUUUAUCUCGUAGAAUCUCUUUUCCGUGACUUUGUUCGGGAUACUUUAAUGAUUUAUACUCGAUAUAUGAGAAAGAAAGAGAAAUAUUUUUAUCAAAUUAUCUUAUGUAGGGGUUUAGACAGACACUUGAGGAGUAUUUUUGUCAAAUUAUUUUAUGUAGGGAUUUAAUUUUGAACGAUUGUAAAUUUUUGUUAGACUCUAAAACUGCUCAUAUUUUAACUAAAAAAUUUAUUAGGUAUAAUAAUCUCUUUAUUUGAAAUGAUAUCCCUAUUUAUUUGAUGAAAUCUGAUUAAUAUAAUUAGUAAUUUUAUUUUUUUAAAAAAAUACAUAAUAAAUUAUUAAAAAUAUUUUUUAUAUUUAAAUUAUUUUCUGUGGUGUAAAUAAAUCUAUUUGAACCGAAUAAAAGUUAAUUAAAAUUUUAAAUGGCAGAUAUAAUGAUUGAUUGGACAGAUCAUUAAAGCAAUGGUAAAGGCAUUUUAUUAAAUUGGAAUUAAUUUAAAAAAAAAAAAUCUUUUUCGUAAAGCCAUCUCCAAUCCUAUGCACUAUUUUUUACACCAUUUUGAUGCUUUAUAUUAAAAUAGUGCAAUAUUAUCUCUAAUUUUCUAUACUAAUUUUAACAUCAAAAAGAAUAUUUUAUUUAUAUUCUUCUUUUUCUUUAAUAUUAUAUUAUUUAUUUUACUUUAAUUUUAUUUAUAUAUUUCAUUCAAAAAAUUCAUAUAAUUUUAUAUAUUUACUUUAAAUAUUUAUAUAUUUUAUAUUUUCAUUCAAUAUUCAAAUAUUUAAUUAUUUUAUAAAUAAACAAAAAAACAUAUUAAUUAUAAAAUAUAUUAAUUAAAUAAUAAUUAUAAAAAAUUAUGAGCCAAAAAAAACUAAACUUAAUUAAAAAUAUAUAUAAAUUUUUAAUUAUAUUAUAAUUUAAAAAAAAAUAGAAAAAAAAAAUAAAUUUUGAAUUAAAAAAAAAGAAGAAAAUAGCGCUGCUACAGUAUAACGCCAUAUUUGGCGUGAUACUGUAGCGAGCGCCAAAAUUCCGUAGGAUUUUGGCGCAGCUUUGGAGGACUAUCUCCAACGCCAAAAUGAAAAUUGGCAAAGCGUUAGAGAUGGCCUAAGCAUAUGAAUAGAUUAAUUUACACAUUUUAAAUGUUGGAUCAGUUUUUUUUAAUGGCAAAAAAUUCAUAUUUUCAAAAUUAUUAAAGUAGCAAAAUUAUAAAAAAAAUUAUAAAUUAUAUAAAUUUUAAAAAAUUAAUUUAAAAAAAAUAAAUUCAAACGACACAAUUUAAUUAUAAUAUUUAUUUAAAUUCAUAAUAUUUCAAACAUAAUAAUAUUACUAACAAAUAAAUUUCUUGAUUUUUCAAUCCCUCCACAAGUCAUAAUAUUUUUUAAAAAAACAAUCAUAAAUUUUUUCCGUUUAAAUAAUUUUAUCCUAAUUUUUUUUCAUAAUAAAUUUAUUAUAAAUUAUGCUGACAUACUUAAUUUAAAAGUUAAUGCUAACUAGAAUUUAAUUUAAGUCUAAGAUUUCUUUAGAUGUGAAAAUAAUUUAUAUUUAAAAUUAUUUUAAUAAAAUAACUCAUUUUUAAUUUUUUAAUUUUUUAAUUUAAAAAUAAAAUAUUUUAAUAAAUUUAUAUAUAUAUAUUAAAAAAGUCUUUUUUUUCCUGAAAUAAUUUAUUUUUUUAUAAAAAAUAUUUUUCAUUAAUUAAUUUUUUAAAAAUAUUUUAAAUAUAAAAAUAAUUUUAAUAAAACAAUCAAAACCUAAAUAAUGGAUAAGGGUUGAUGUGACACUAGAGCGAUGUUUAAGAAAAGUAAUUAACAGUAUAGCAUACAAUUAAUUCAAUUAAACUAAAUUUGUUAAUGGAAAAUUAAAAAAUAUUAUUAAAAAAUAGACAAAAAUACUAAUUCAGCGUCGAUCAUAUCUCAUCCCUUGAAGGUAGAUGAGUAGUAGUUUUUCAUGCAAAGAGCAAAGCAACACUGUCUUGGUUUGCAAUUAUUGGCUUGUAUUGCUUUGUCUAUUGCCAUACAUUUGAGAAUUUUUACAAUGCAACCGCUGUAUAGAUAAUAAUUUCAUAGUAGUAAUUGAUUAUAAUGAAUUUCAUGUAGUUUGAUCAAUGGUCAACAUCUAGACAAAGUUCCUCUUCCUGUUCCUGAUGAUUUAUCCUGCGAAUGCGAAGGUUUUCAGUCUUGUUUUUCAAUCUUUAAAGAGAAGGUUCAUCUUCCUUAUCUUCUUCAAUUCUGCUUCUCUUUUUAUCUCUGGAAAGACUAUCCUCUCGAAAUAUAGGAUGCACUCCACACAUUAUUAUAGAAUCGUAAUCACGACUGGAAAUGAAGAAUUGAAAGGAAACUUCAAGGAAACUCUCUUCCAUGUCCAACAGUUUAUUCCCCAACAGUUUAUUCCAAAGGAACACAUGUUCUGAAUAUAAGGGAUCAACUACAAAAUUCGGGGCCUCGAAAAUGAAAUUUUCACUGCUAUGUCCAGAUUUACGGACGAAGUUAGCUAUGCAAUCAAUGAGUAUAUUACGAUCAUGAGGAUAACUUUUUGGAUCAAAAACAGCACAUAAAGAAAAACCAGUCAAAUUUGCCUGAUCUAGUCUGAAUGAAAGAGAAGAUCCACUUUUGUUCUUAUAUCUCAUCGUUUCAGGCACUUCAACCCCCGGUAUGUAUAACUGAACAAACUGUACCAUGGAAAUUAUAAAUUUUUUAAGAAAACUAAUAAUAAUAAACAAAAAUUGUACACUCAAAAGGGUUGAUUCUUGUAAGACCAGAGAAAGUAAGGCAUACCUUGUGUUUUAACAGAUGCGUCUUCAAUACAUCCUCCAUUACUUUAUCAUGUACGUUCUUAUCCAAAUUGAUGCAAUUACGAAACUGAAGUCGUUUUGCUUCUUUUUCAUCAUCAUGUUCUAAGAAAAGGAAUGAAGUUGAUGCAGAUUCCAAAGAUGUGCAAUCUGAUGCAUCUAAAUCUUCUAAGCAUGACGGAAGCUCUGGUAAACAUUUAAGUCUCUUGCAACCAUUUAAAAAAAGCCCCUUCAACUCAGUUAGAUGUUUAAUGCUUGCAGGUGUCGUCUUGAAAUUGUUUCCACCUAAAAAUAAGUAUUCCAAUGACACUAAAAACCAAAGACUCUGGGGAAUUUCUAAUAUACCACAGUCACUUAAAUUAAUUCUCCUUACACAGGACAGUCCUGUCAAAGGAGGCAAUGUCAAACCUUCACAUCUCGCACAUCUUAACACUUCCAAUCUUCUCAAUUGAUUGAUGGAGGAUGGUAAUGUUUUUAUUCCACUUCCAGAUAUACAAAGGUUCUUCAGCAAUUCUAGAUCCCCCAUGUUCUCUGGCAAUGCUUUGACAUUCAAACAGCCUGAGAUAUCAAUGCGUGUAAGAGAUUUCAAAUUGCAGAUGCUUCGUGGAAUACUAUGCAGUUUUGAGCAGUAUCCGAGAUCAAUUUCUUUUAGACAUUUAGACUCGCCAAUGCUACUAGGAAUCUCAAUCAAGUUUCUACAUCCUAUCAAACAUAAAACCUCAAGAUUUGGGGCACUAGACAAGUCUAGAACUUUAGUUAACUCAAAAGAGUAGCUGAGGUCUAAAAAUUUCAAACUUUCAAGAGCCUGUAAUCAAAACGUCAAUAAAAUUAGCAGAAGCUAAUUAACUUUGCACAAUGUAGCUAAAUUUUAUAAAGCAGCAUAAUAACUCUAACCUUCUCUUGAUUCCAGAGUUGGAUGAGGUUGCUCCGUGGCAUGUGAAGUUCUACAAGAUUUCUUGGGCAAAAAUUUAUUGGCAAGGAUUUCAAAGGGUAGUCUUCCCAAUGAUGAUAUCUUAGCUCCUCUGGUAGAAAUUCAAGGCCACUAGGUAGAAGCACUCGUCCUGGUCUGGAUGUAGGAACAUUGAAGAAUUUGAGGAAUCUAAGAUUGCACAUGUUCAUGAAAGCUGUGGGACUUGGCUCCAAAUAUCCAUUUCCAGACAUAUCAAGUAAUAUGCCUUCAAUAUUUUCAGUUCCCUAAGAAAAUAACAACAAACAUUAUAGGCACCGCACUUAAUUCUUAAAACUGCAUAUAAAUAAUAUGUAUGUAUAAUUAAGAAUAUGCACAUUAAUUCUUCUGGUCCAUACCUUGUCUCUUGUCAAUACAUGACAAAUAUCCUUAUAUUUCCACAACCUGCUGCGUGUCCCAAGUUGUUUGGACUCCUCACAAACAACAUCCUUGCCCAUUUGUUGUAGCAAGUCAUGCAUGCCUACCUUACCAUUUGAAACAGUUAUGAGAGAUUUAUCAAUUAAACGGCUUAUCGCUCUUCUUGGAAAGAAACCACAACCUUCAAAUAUUCUUUCAACACGAUCUUUAGGCUCGCCUUUAAGGAAACAUGCAAUAUCAAGAAAUAUGCUCUUUUCAUGACGUUCUAGUCCAUCAUAACUUAUUCUCAAAACUGCCUGAAUAUUCAUAUCAGGAAUUUCUUUCAAUUUUUCCAACUCACUUUCCCAUUCUUCAAUCCCCUUAUCAUACAAAUUAGAGCCUAAAAUUUCAAGAGCCAAUGGAAUACCUUGAGCAUAUGUUAUCAACUUCUUUGAUAUUUUCACAUAUCCUUUCUUGGGAUGAUUUUGUUUGAAGGCAUCCAAGCUAAAGAGACAAAGAGCUUCAUCAUCAGUUAAUUUUUCAACCUCGUAUAUGUAUCCCUCAGAACAAACAUUUUUAAGUACUUGUCUAUCUCUGCUUGUUACAAUGAUUCUACUACCUUUGCGGUACAAAGCACACUCUCCUGCUAAAAGCUUUAGAUGUUUUGGAUCAUCCACAUCAUCAAAAACAAUGACAACCUUUUGACUCUGAAGUCUUCUCCUAAUCAAAGGGGAUAGCAGAGUUGUGCUUACAUGUAAAUCCUUUUCUCCUAACAAUUGGUUAAUGAUUUUAUCUAAUAAAACAUGUGUUUGUUUUCUCAUCUCCUCUCUGACAUUAUCAACAAAAUAGUGCCCAUCAAAUUUAUCCAUAAUUCGAUUCAAUACUUCACGAGCAAUAGUUGUCUUGCCAAUACCUCCCAUCCCCCAAAUUCCUAUUACUCUUCUAUCAUUUUUCGAUUCAAUACAUAACAAGGAUUCCACUUUCUUCAGACGUGAUUCAAUCCCAACUAAGUUGUCAUUGUAAGAAUCACUAGAGGAGAUGAGACUUAAUUUCUCCCAAACAUCAUUGGCAAUUUCCUCAACUAGUUUGGAUUCAGACCUAAUAUAUAUGAAGAACAAAUGCUAGUAAGUCAAAGCAAACCACCCUUAGAGGCUUAGACUCGCUUCUAAGUAAAUUGAUAAUACACGAUUACAUAUACAUGCAAACAAAAACAAGAAUAGUAAAAAAAUCAACAGAAUUACUUGAUAUUCCGUGAAUCCCAUCCUGCUAAAAUGCUUAUUUCCAUCAGAGCACGACGCCACUUAUCCACCUUGUCUAAACAACCUUUGACUUCUUCUCCAUGCUUAGCAACCGCAAAUGCCUCGCCGAAAUUCCCAAUGAGAUCUUGAACAUCAGUUGGAUCUACAUGGUAAAAAAUUGGUAGGACUAAUUGUCCUAAAAUUUCCUUGCAUUCAAGUAUCUUCACAAGCUCAUCCAAGCACCAUGGAGAAUCUGCAUAAUUUUGAGAGAAAACAACAAUGGAGACAUAAGAAUAUUGAAUUGUUUCCAAGAGAGCAGGUGAGAUCUCUUCUCCUUUACGAAGGUUUUCAUCCAUGAAAGGAUUGAUUUGUUUUCGCUGCAAAGCAUCAAAGAGAUGGGAGAGAAAACCCCCACGAAUAUCUUUGCCUCUAAAGCUAAUAAAAACAUCAUAUUUGCAAGGAGGGGUUGAAGAAGUAGCAUCCAUAGAUGAGUGAUGAAAGAAUGCUUGUGUAACUCCAACUGAGCUUGAAGAAUUUAAAGAGUGCAGAACGCGUUAGAUUGAGUUCAAGGAAAGAAACCAAAACUUGCUAUCUAGGCAUGUUGCUAUCUGACACUCUUCUUCUUCUUUUCGCCUCAACUUUUGCCCUUGUCCACAAUCAGACGGCUUCAGUUUUUCUACCACAUACAUUGAGUCUAUGAUGUAUAAUUUUUAUUUAUUUUAAUUUAUCUUUUAAUCUUUCUAUAUCAUUAAAUAAUAAAUUAUUAUGAAAAAUUAUAUAAUUAUUUUAGAAAUUUGUGAGAUAAUUUAUGAUAAUAUUUAUUGUAAUAUUUUUAAAAAUUAUUAUAUGUAAUUUUUGUAUAUAAAAAAAUUUCAUAUGUUCGUGAAAAAUAAAAGAGAUAAUUGUAUUGUUUUUUGUAUGUAAUUUUGAUAAUUUUAUUAAUAUUUUUAUAUAUAAAUUUUUAAUUUCAUUAUUUUUAAAUUAUAAUUAAAGAAUGCAAAAUUAUAAUUAACUAAAAUUCUUUCUAUCAUAUUGUAGAAUGACAUUUUACACACAAAUUAACUUAUUUAUUUAUAUACUUUUUACUAUAUAUUUAUUCUAUUUUUAUUUUUUAACUGUCAUUAUUUUUAUUAUCAUUUUAAUUUUUAUAUUUAAAUAAUAUUUUUUGGUUAAUAAUUUUUACCAAAAUUUAUGAUUAUAUUAUUUAUUUUUACUAAAGAUAUAAAUAAUUGUUCUUUCUUUGAUACUCAUAUACAUCUUAUUUACUGCGAUAAAUACAUGUAUAUUCGUUUCAUAAAUAAUUUGUGAUGUUCGGAGAUCCAAAUAAUAGAGUUUAUUGUGUAAAUUUGUUUCACUACUCCUGUCUAAGGCCAGACCCAUGAUGACAGUCCAUGAUCUGAAGGCUUCUAAGCCUCCCGCAUAAGCUAGGUCCAGCUCAUUCAGCCGAAGAAUCGAGCCCCGCAUGGGUUUCUCAAUCAGGUCGGUCCAAUUUAUCCGGCCCAAUGAUCAUACCUCCCCUAGGCUCAACCUUAAUCUCAUCAUCCAGCCCACCCGCCUGGUGGGUCCAUCCGCAUGCAUGCCAGAGGAGAAUUAAAUGGCCGUUACGCAUGUAACAGGGAUCUGAUAUUUUCGUACGUCCAUAUCUGUAUAGCAGAGACACGUGCCCCAAUGACAAUGAGACUGUUAUACGUCACUGACGGACAAAGGAAAAAAAUAAAAGGAGAGGAGCAUCCUUCUCUCGGACUAAGCUUACAGAACUCUUGUAAAACUCUAUUUUCUGGAUCUCAGAUUAUCAUGUUCAAUUCAUCCCCAUUUAUUACUCAUGAACCAAGUAAUGUGUAAAACGAAUCAAAAUAUAAAAGUUCCUAUAUAAGAUUAUUUAUUAAUUUUAAGUUAAAAGAUCACUUAAACAAUUAUCAUUUGAGUAAUCCAUAGACACAAGUUAUUUUUCAUAUGGAUUUCUCAGGCGGGUCAGUUUAGUGCACUUAUUUAUAAAAAAUACUUACACAUAUAUAUCUCACAUAUCUCAACUUAUGAGAUUAGUUGUUUUCUUAAAAAUAUAUAUAUAUAUAAUAUAUACUAGUUUCAAUAACUCUAAUUAUUGUUCAAUCAUAAUAAGAAUAUCGAACAGAAAUAUUUAGAGACUUUACUUAAAUACAAUAAAAAACUCACAAUUAUAAUCAUAUUAUAAUUUAUUUUACACAAUACUAUAAUCUCAUAUGGACUUUUAUAUUUAUUCAAGAUUUAAUUAACAUUAAAGAUAAAUAAUAAUUUUAUAUAGUGUAUUUAAAUAUUUAAAAUAUAUGAAUAAUAAUAUCCAAUAAUAAUCAAUAAAUUGGCUGUAUGGCAUAUUAUUAACAAUAUUCACUUACUAAUAGUCGGUAACAGGACCAGUUAUAGAAGAACAUCUAUAAAAAGAAAAUUCAUAGGAAAUAUUACUUUGUGCAUUAAAAUGUAAAUCGCUGUAGCUUACUCUUUGGAGCUGCUAAGAAUUUCUGGACAUUUUCCAAGACAAGAAACAUUUAACUAAAACGACAGAGCUUUAAAGUAAUUUAAAAAAAAAAAAAAAAGAGAUGUGAGGUUUAAUAUCCUAAAAUUCAACUAAUAUAUUUAUCGCGGAAACAAGUCCGUGAGUGCUUUAAAAUAAAUAUUAGGGAAAAUUACUUUAUAGUCCCUGAGGUUUAACGUAAUUAACACUUCUGUCCCUCUAUUUUGGCGACCCAACACUUAAGUCCCUCACUUUCUUUUCUAUCCAAAUUCAUAGUCCUUCCGUCCAAAAUAGCUGUUUGGGACACGUGAAUUGACAAAAUUAACCCUCUUCUUCUUCUUUCUCCUCUUCCUCUUCCUACCCUUUCUGCAACUUCUUCUUCUUCUUCCUUCUUGUGUAAGUUGUAUAAAAAAGUAACUAAUAACUGCGGAAUUAUGUGCAAUUGAUCUGAAAGAUGAAAUUCUACCCACUAUCUUCAAUCAGCCCUCGACAUUAAAAGCAUUUUUUAGUUUAGCCCAGAUGUGUUGAGAAGCAGUUAAAUGUUUUCCCUUUGUGGAUGUUAAUACAGCAGGCAACAAGAGAUAUGCCUGAUAGCUGUAACAGAUUCACAAAUGAACACCAGUUUCAUAGAUCUAAGAAUUACCCAUUAAAAGCAAUCAAACAAGAAUUUGUAAUCAUUAUCCCCAAACACGUCAUCCAAAUGAAAAUAUAAUUGCAAAAUCAUGAAAAACAUAUACCUGCAGAGGAACCCACCAACAAAAUCUUGUCAGUUGAUAGAUUUUCACAAACCCAUUUGCAGACAGCGAUGACAUCCUUGACUUCAGAAAACCCAGUGAGAGAAGGCUUUCCUGUGGACCUCCCAGCACCUCUCAUGUCAAAAGUGACAGCCGUGUAACCUUUCUGUGCCAACCCAAUUGCAAUUCCUUUUAGAAGAGCUUGACAACCACCCAAAACUGAAUAUGGGUGGACAAGAACAAUAACCAAUUUGUCUUUGAUCUCAUCUUCUUUGGGCUUGAAGACCCUUGUCUGGAGCUUCAAUCCAUCAUUGGUUUCUACUGUGGAGGACUCAACUGUAUGGCUUGACAUCCUUCCAAGCAAAAAAGGAUGCUCGGAAAUGGCAAUUUGAUGGAUGAAGGGAGAGAAUUUUUAAAGACCAAGAAAAUUUCUUCUUUCUUCUUUCUUCUUUCUUCUUUCUUCUUCUCUUCUUCUUCUUCCUUCUUCUGCAAGUUCUUCCUCUCCUCCUCCUUCUUCUUCUUCUUCUUUCUUCUUUCUUCUUUCUUCUUCCUUCUUCUUUCUUCUUCUUCUUCUUUCUUUUUCUUCUUUCUUCUUCUUCUUCUGGAAUUUCACAUGGAGAGAAGGGCAUUUUUGGAAAAAAUUAUCACAUCUCACCUUUGACUCUUUGACCAAACGGUUUAAAUGGACGGAAGGACUAUGAAUUUGGACAGAAGAGAAAGUGAGGGACUUAAGUGUUGGGUCGCCAAAAUAGAGGGACAGAAGUGUUAAUUACGUUAAACCUCAGGGACUACAAAGUAAUUUUCCCUAAAUAUUAUAGGCUUUACAAGCUAAAUCACUUAUGUUUAGCUUAAAUCAGUCCAUGAAGAAACUGCAGGAUACGUGAGGGCAGCUGGUGAUGCAUGCAAUUAGCAGAAAUAAACUGCUUAAAAACAAGGAAAAGGAAGUGUAGAGGAUGAUUGAAACUGAGGGAUGAGUAGGUGGCCUAAUGCAUAGACAACGUUUAUUGACUAAAAAGACAUUGCAUUUUAUAAUGAUUUGGGCAGGUGCCAGGUGGAUAAAUUUUCAUAAACUUUUGUCUUUUUUACCUUACUAUAGUGGCUAGACAUUUCCGAGAUGGUGAUUGAUGAAUGAUAAGAUAUAUAAAUGAAGUGAUAGAGCUCUCUCCUUGUACCUUCCUACUUCAAUCUGCUUUUUCUCUCCGAUUUUCUUUUUUCUGAUUAUGGAUUUCACUAUCAUAGCAUGAUAAUAAAAGGAUCUGUUGCAUAGCCUGUCUAAUUUUUCUUUUCCUAAAUAAUAUUAGGAUUUUAUUCAUAUAAAAGGGAGUACAGCCCAUAAUAAACAUACCAAAACCCUAGACCCAGCCAUGCCUAAAAAGAAUAUGACAACUACAGGUUACUAAAACUCACAAGAAAAAAAGUCCCAAGAGACAACCAAAUCCUAGCACCCCUGAUCCAUCUUGACUCGAUCUAAUCCAGCUGAAAGUAGACUACACCGCCGCUAUCUCUGGAGGACGUCAAUCAUCAUGUUGGCAGUACCAAACAAAAAGGAAAAAACUCUCUAUAAUAUUUGUGAAGGCCAUACAAUGUUUGAAGAAGCAUAGGAGAGGAAGAGAACCCACAAACCAUCAACUUUGAAUGCAAGAACAGUCGGAGAAAUGUGGUCGAUAGCUGACAGAAGCACAUGCAGAAAUGGAUCAAGACAUACAGAAGGAGGUCGGUUCUAAGAGAGAGGAGACGUCCUCAAUCGCACCACCUUCUCACUGUCCGAGUCAAGGGAGAAAAACUGUUAAAUUUGGACCAGGCCUAACUCACCCCAAAAGCUAGCUAUGACCAAUAUAAGGGGCACAUUACCCCUUUUCAUAACCGAUGUGGGAUUCAACACAUCCCCUCAUGCCCACUCAACAUCGGAUGGGGAGGUUCUGAUACCAUGUUAAAUUUGGACCAGGCUUAACUCACCUCAAAACUCAAAAGCUAGCGGGGCACGUUACCCCUUUCCAUAACCGAUGUGGGAUUCAACAAAAACCCCUUAAAAACAGAUAUGCAAAAGAAGAAAUAAAGGUAUUCCGUUGAGACGCCGCCCAACCAGUUCUUCAUCAGCCCUCCCAUGAAAACCCAGAAGGGGAAGAUCUCAAAAUCUAUAAAACAAAGCAAAAACACAAAAAGAAUAGAACCCAAAGAAACAACAGCCAAAAUAGUCUCUAAUGCGCCGCUGCCAAUAAUCCAAAUAACAAAAGUAAAAAACUAUCUACAUCUCUCUGGGAGAGAAGCGAACCUACAGCCGGGCGAAAAGUGGAUUCCUUUCAUCUAAAGGACAGGGGAAACCUCCAAUUGAGGCAAACAACCAACAAGACCUGAACUAAUAGAGGCCAGAAACCUCAACGGAAGGUAAACUCUCUCCUCAAAUGGGAGAGAGAGUCAAGUGCCUGUAUUAGUUUAGCGAUUGAAGUUAUAUGACUAGCUUGAUAAACUUAGGGAUCCGACUUUACCCCUGAAUUAAAUUCGUGAGUGCUUUUGAAGAUNNNNNNNNNNNNNNNNNNNNNNNNNNNNNNNNNNNNNNNNNNNNNNNNNNNNNNNNNNNNNNNNNNNNNNNNNNNNNNNNNNNNNNNNNNNNNNNNNNNNNNNNNNNNNNNNNNNNNNNNNNNNNNNNNNNNNNNNNNNNNNNNNNNNNNNNNNNNNNNNNNNNNNNNNNNNNNNNNNNNNNNNNNNNNNNNNNNNNNNNNNNNNNNNNNNNNNNNNNNNNNNNNNNNNNNNNNNNNNNNNNNNNNNNNNNNNNNNNNNNNNNNNNNNNNNNNNNNNNNNNNNNNNNNNNNNNNNNNNNNNNNNNNNNNNNNNNNNNNNNNNNNNNNNNNNNNNNNNNNNNNNNNNNNNNNNNNNNNNNNNNNNNNNNNNNNNNNNNNNNNNNNNNNNNNNNNNNNNNNNNNNNNNNNNNNNNNNNNNNNNNNNNNNNNNNNNNNNNNNNNNNNNNNNNNNNNNNNNNNNNNNNNNNNNNNNNNNNNNNNNNNNNNNNNNNNNNNNNNNNNNNNNNNNNNNNNNNNNNNNNNNNNNNNNNNNNNNNNNNNNNNNNNNNNNNNNNNNNNNNNNNNNNNNNNNNNNNNNNNNNNNNNNNNNNNNNNNNNNNNNNNNNNNNNNNNNNNNNNNNNNNNNNNNNNNNNNNNNNNNNNNNNNNNNNNNNNNNNNNNNNNNNNNNNNNNNNNNNNNNNNNNNNNNNNNNNNNNNNNNNNNNNNNNNNNNNNNNNNNNNNNNNNNNNNNNNNNNNNNNNNNNNNNNNNNNNNNNNNNNNNNNNNNNNNNNNNNNNNNNNNNNNNNNNNNNNNNNNNNNNNNNNNNNNNNNNNNNNNNNNNNNNNNNNNNNNNNNNNNNNNNNNNNNNNNNNNNNNNNNNNNNNNNNNNNNNNNNNNNNNNNNNNNNNNNNNNNNNNNNNNNNNNNNNNNNNNNNNNNNNNNNNNNNNNNNNNNNNNNNNNNNNNNNNNNNNNNNNNNNNNNNNNNNNNNNNNNNNNNNNNNNNNNNNNNNNNNNNNNNNNNNNNNNNNNNNNNNNNNNNNNNNNNNNNNNNNNNNNNNNNNNNNNNNNNNNNNNNNNNNNNNNNNNNNNNNNNNNNNNNNNNNNNNNNNNNNNNNNNNNNNNNNNNNNNNNNNNNNNNNNNNNNNNNNNNNNNNNNNNNNNNNNNNNNNNNNNNNNNNNNNNNNNNNNNNNNNNNNNNNNNNNNNNNNNNNNNNNNNNNNNNNNNNNNNNNNNNNNNNNNNNNNNNNNNNNNNNNNNNNNNNNNNNNNNNNNNNNNNNNNNNNNNNNNNNNNNNNNNNNNNNNNNNNNNNNNNNNNNNNNNNNNNNNNNNNNNNNNNNNNNNNNNNNNNNNNNNNNNNNNNNNNNNNNNNNNNNNNNNNNNNNNNNNNNNNNNNNNNNNNNNNNNNNNNNNNNNNNNNNNNNNNNNNNNNNNNNNNNNNNNNNNNNNNNNNNNNNNNNNNNNNNNNNNNNNNNNNNNNNNNNNNNNNNNNNNNNNNNNNNNNNNNNNNNNNNNNNNNNNNNNNNNNNNNNNNNNNNNNNNNNNNNNNNNNNNNNNNNNNNNNNNNNNNNNNNNNNNNNNNNNNNNNNNNNNNNNNNNNNNNNNNNNNNNNNNNNNNNNNNNNNNNNNNNNNNNNNNNNNNNNNNNNNNNNNNNNNNNNNNNNNNAUUAUCAUCCGCGGCACUGACAAAUUCAUCAUCUCGUACCGUUUCCACCAACAAUUUCAAAGCCUCCAACCGAUUAUAUUUAACACAUAAGUGCAAGAUUGUCUCUCCAUUAUCCAUCUUCUCUCUUAUUGACUCAGGACAAACGCUGACUAAUUCCUUCACAACUGCAACUCUUCCUUUCAUGGCAGCUAAGUGAAGUGGGAUUCUUCCAUCUUGAUCACGUGCCCAGCAAGCAUCAGGAUUCACAGUUACCAACUCUUUAACAAUAUGGGAUUAGCCUUCUGCAGAAGCCAAGUGAAGAGGCAAGCGGCAAAGAGAGUCUAACUCCUCGGCUAGUUUGGGCUUCAGAUUGAGGAGUGCUUGAGCAAACGGAAGGUGACCUCGCAUGGCUGCAAUGUGCAAGGGAGUUUCAUGAUAGGAAGUAAUGGUGACCCUAUCAAGAAGGAGUUCAUCUUGUUGAAGCAACGCAUCUAAUUCAGCUACAUCCCCUUUCAGUGAUGCUUGAUAAAUGAUAAGCUGGUCAUGCUCGAUUGAGUUGUUGAGGUUCUCUAUAGACAUCCUAAUACGCAGAAGGCGGUGGUGAUGAGGGCUUUUGGUUAGAGGGCCUUUGCUUCUUUAUGAAAUUAAUGACGGUGGUAAUAUAUACAGAGAGUUGAUGACCAAAGUGGCCAAUAUUUAUCACCUAUUAUCUUCCAUAUAUUUUCAUAUUAUAAAUUAAAAUUGAUAUAUUUUAUCUCUAACAGCGUAAAAUUCAUGUAACUUUUUAUAAAUUUACCGUGUAUUCUUUUAAAUUAGAAAAAUAAAAUCAAAACGUAAUUUGGUUGACCAAACGUGUCACUUCAAAGUCAACAAGUGCCGUGCUAGAUAAGCCAACAGGACUCUUCCUGGAAAAUGAUACCUAAAUCGAAGUCCGCACAAAGUGGAGUAGUGGUUCGGACCACCAUAGAAACUUCAAGGAAAGAAACCCAAAACUUACUAUCCAGGCAUGUUGCUAUCUGACACUCUUCUUCUUCUUUCCGCCUCAACUUUGCCCUUGUCCACAAUCAGCCGGCUUCCGUUUCUCUACCACAAAUUUAUAUUUGUCAUAUACAUUGGGUCUAUAAUUUCCAAUAAUAUUAGCCGUGUUCGUUUGACCAGCGAGAAGUGCUGUUGAGGAAUAAUAAUUUCCUUUUUAUUUUAUCAUUUAAUUUUUCUACAUUUUAAAUAAUGAGUUAUUAUGGAGAAUUAUAUAAUUAUUUUAAAUUGGAGUUAUAUGUCUUUUAAAUUUAUAAAAUAUUUAUAAUAAUAUUUAUUUUGAUACUUUCAAAAGUCAUAUGUAAUUUUUGUGUACAAAAGUAUUUCAGAUCUUCAUAAAAAGUAAAAGAGAUAAUUUGAAUCUUUUUCUUCUUCAAUUUUCUAACAGACUUAUGAGUGUGAAUUUUUUUUUAUGAGUGAAUUUCUGAUUUUUGAGUUUGAAAAAUAGAACAACACAGAAAUGUUGUUUAGUAACAAUUUUAUGGGAAUGGGUCCUCCAUUGUUUAAUGGAAAAAAUUAUUGUAUUUGGAUAAUCAAAAUGAAAUCUUAUUCAGAGUUUUUUAGUUUGUGGGAUGUUGUUGAAAUUGAGCAUAUCCACUUAGCUUUGUAUCUAGUCCAACUCUAAACCAAAUCAAGAAUUAUGAAGAAUUGAAGAAAAGAAAGCCGAGAGUUUUGAUGUGUUUGUGUGCUAAUUUAAUGGAUAUGAUUUUUACUAAAAUUAUGAAUUGUGAAAUUCUAAAGGAAGCAUGGAAUAAACGUAAGGAGGAGUUUGAAGGAAACGAUAGAAUAAAGAUCGUUAAACUUCUCACUUUAAAAAGGCAAUUUGAGAUGUUUCGGAUGAAAGAAGGUGAAAUGGUAAAAGAAUAUGCUGCAAAGUUGAUGGAUUUGGUGAAUAAGAUUAGAUUGUUCGAGAAGUAAUUUCCACAUUUUAAGUUGUGGAAAAAAUGCUAAUUAAUUUGCCAUUAAGGUUUGAGCCGAAGGUGUCCGCUAUCGAAGAAUCAUGUGAUCUGACUAAGAUGUGGUGAACUUAUCAGCAAAUUACAAGUCUAGAAGCAGAGGUCUAAUUUGAAGGAGAGUGAAAGCAGUAAAAGGGCUUUUCAAGCCAAACAGAUCAAAAAACAAUAUUUUGACCGAAAUCAGAAUACUAUUUCAGAUCAGCGAUCAGAAAAGGAAAAACUAUUCCAACAAUAAGCAAAGGAGGAAAAGGCAAGUUUUUGCCUUAUUCUUUUUUUUUUUUUCAUAAAACUAAUCAUUUGAUAAAGGAUUAUUGGGCUAAAGACAAAUUUAAAAUUCAAGGUAGAUUUUGCAAGAUGUAUGGUCAUUUUGAAAAAUUUUGCAUAAUAAAGCAGAAUCAUAUCACUCUUCAGAAUAUAAAUUAAAAUUCUAAUUAACAGGCUAACUAAGCAUGAUCUGAUUCUUAACAUGUUCAUAACUCUCACUCAAUCCCAUUAAGAAUUUAAUAAGCUCAAAAUUAGUCAUGAUUUUAGCAAAAGGCCAAUUCAUUCUAUAAUUUUUUUUCUUUUAAUUUGGUUAAUUUUUUUAAAAAAAUUUAGUAAAGGAAACUAUGAUAGACAUGUUUAAUCAGGUAAACUACUUAUCUUUUUCUUUAACUGGUUAAAAAGUGGACCAUUUGCUUCACCGAAUGUUUUCUUGAUCUCUUCCCACAGCUCUUUUGCAGAGGUAGCAUAGAGAAAUGCUUCUACCAAUUCCUUUGAGAGAGAGUGAAGGAUCGUUGUCUACUUUCAGCUAUUUCUCAUAAGAGGCUGAAUCAAUAUUUUACAUUUUGCAUUUAUGAGACGAAGCUUAUCAUUCGCUUUAAGAGCAAUGAUCAUAGGUCUACUCCAUAUGAGGUAGUUGAAGAAGUUCAUCUUGUUGAAGAGUUCAUCUGAGUUCAUCUUGUUGAAGCAAUGCAUCUAAUUCAGCUACAUCCCCUUUCAGUGAUGCUUGAUAAAUGAUAAGCUGAUCAUGCUCGAUUGAGUUGUUGAGGUUCUCAAUAGACAUGCUAAUAGGCAGAAGGCGGUGGUGAUGAGGGCUUUUGGUUAGAGGGCCUUUGCUUCUUUAUGAAAUUAAUGACGGUGGUAAUAUAUACAGGGAGUUAUUUAUCACCUAUUAACUUCCAUAUAUUUUCAUAUUAUAAAUUAAAAUUGAUAUAUUUUAUUAAUAACAGCGUAAAUUUCAUGUAACUUCUCAUAAAUUUACCAUGUAUUCUUUUAAAUUAGAAAAAUAAAAUCAAAACGUAAUUUGGUUGACCAAACGUGUCACUUCAAAGUCAACAAAUGCCGUGCUAGUGCUAGAUAAGCCUAAAUCGAAGUGGGCACCUAGUGGAGCAGUGGUCCGGACCACCGUAGAAACUUCAAGGAAAGAAACCCAAAACUUACUAUCUAGGCAUGUUGCUAUCUGACACUCUUCUUCUUCUUCUUUCCUCCUCAACUUUGCCCUUGUCCACAAUCAGCCGGCUUCCGUUUCUCCACCACAAAUUUAUUUUUUUUUUUCACAUUCAUUGGGUCUAUGAUUUCCAAUAAUAUCAGCCAUGUUCGUUUGACUAGCAAGAGGUGCUGUUGAAGAAUAAUAAUUUUUUUAAAAUUUUAAUUUAUCUUUUAAUUUUUUUAUACUAUUAAAUAAUAAAUUAUUAUGAAAAUUUAUAUAAUCAAUUUAAUUCGGAGAUUUACAAUAUAUUUAUGAUAAUAUUUAUUUUAAUAUUUUUAAAAAUUACUAUAUGUAAUUUUUGUGUAUAAAAAGAUUUCAGAAGUUCCUGAAAAAUAAAAGAGAUAAUUUGAGUCUUUUUUUUGUAAUUUUUUAAUGUACUUGUGAGGGUAAUCUUUUUUUCGAGUGAAUUUUUGAUUUUUGAGUCUGAAAAAUAGAGCAACAGAAAAUGUUGUCCCGUAAUAAUUUUAUGAAAACGGGUCCUCCAUUAUUUAAUAGAGAAAAUUAUCAUAUUUGGAUAAUCAAAAUGAAGUCUUAUUUAGAGUUUUUGAGUUUGUGGGAUGUUGAAAUCAAGCUGGUCCAACUUGCCUUGGUCCUAAUCUAACUCCAAACAAAAUCAAGAACCAUAAAGAAUUGAAAAGGAGAAAGUCGAGAGUUUUAACGUGUUUGCAUGCUAGUUUGACGGAUAUGACUUUUACUAGAAAUAUGAAUUGAAAAACUCUAAAAGAAGCAUGAAAUAAAUCCAAGGAGGAGUUUGAAGAGAGGGAUAGAGUAAAAAUCGUUAAGUUUUUCACUUUAAAAAGGCAAUUUGAGAUGCUUAAUAUGAAAGAAGGUGAAACGUAGAGGUGAGUAUUUGGUCGGUUUGGUUAAAAAUAAAACUGAACCGAAUAAACCGAAAACUAAAAUUUUAGUAUUUAUGAAAAUCGAACAAAACUGAUUUUGGUCAGAAACCGAAUCGAACCGAACCGAUUUGAUUCGAUUCGAUUCGGUUCGGCUUGAUCGGUUUCAAUUUUUAAUAAUAUUUUUUAUUUUUUACACUUUAUUUUUAAUAUUUUAAAAUUUAAUUAAAAUAUUUUAAUUUUAAUAUGAUUUAAUUUCUUUAUAUUAUUGAAAAAAUAUAUUAUCACUAAUCGGUUCGGUUCUAUUUUUUCGGAUUAAAAUCGAACCGAAUCGAAAUAAUUGAAAUUUCUAAAAUUAAAAAUCAAAUCGAACCGAAAUGAAUAAAAAGCCGAACUAAAUUUUUAAAUUAAUUCGAUUUGAUCAAUUUUUUCGGUUUGAACCGAAUACUGCUCAAGUCCAGUGAAACGGUAAAAAAAUAUACUGCAAAACUAAUGGAUUUAGUGAGCAAGAUUAGAGUAAUUUCUAUAUUUUAAAGUUGCGGAGAAAAUAUUAGUUAAUUUGCUAUCAAAAUUUGAACUAAAGGUGUUCUUAUCAAAAAAUCUUGUGAUCUGAUUAAGAUAUGUAUGGUGAACUUAUCAGCAAAUUACAAGCUCAGGAGUAUAGGUCUAAUUUGAGGAAGGAUGAAAGCAGCGAAUGAGCUUUUCAAGCCAAACAAAUUAAAAAAUAGUAUUUUGACCAAAAUCAUAUUAUUAUUCCAAGAUAAGUGAUUAGAAAAAAAGAAAAUCUAAGGCAAGUUUUCGUCUUGUUCUUUUUUUUUUUUUCUAAAAAACUAAUCAUUUAAUAAAAGAUUGUUAGACUAAAGACAGAUCUAAAAUUGAAUGGAAAUUUUGCAAGAUGUAUGAGCAUUUUGAUAAAACCACCCUUUGAGUGAUACUUGAUAAGUGAUGAGCUAGUCAUAUCCGAUUGGAGAGUUGAGGUUCUCGGUAGACAUUCUAUGUUAGCAUGAUUAUAAAAAUCAAUUUUUGCAUGAUUUAGGAGAUUUAUUUAGUAUAAUUAUAGCAAUUAAUAUUAUUAUAUUAUUGUAUGAUAUUUUAUACGCAAAUUAAUUUAUUUAUUUAUAUUUUUUUAUUAUCAUUAUUUUUAUUAUUAUUUUAAUUUUUAUAUUUAAAAAAUAUUUUUUGGGUAAUAAUUUUGACCAAAAUUUAUGAUUAUAUUAUUUAUUUUUACUAAAGAUAUAAAUAAUUGUUCUUUGUUUGAUACUCAUAUACAUCUUAUAUCAAAUUAUAUAUAUAAAAAAAAUUAAAACUAUUAAUGAUGAAAUGCAAAGCACUGUUAUUAACAACAAAUUUAACUAAAAUUACACCAUUUUAUUACAUAUUCAAGCUGAUAUUAAAUAUUUUCAAAAUUUAGACUGUGACAGAAAUUUUUUUUAUAAGAUUUAAAGAUAUAUGUGAUAACCGUUGGGUUUUACAUCUCCCUGAGUCAGGCCGGAUUCAAGAAGAUACGAUCGGUUCAAAGUCUGAAAGAUACCCUAGGAUCACUCAACCCGAUCUCUCCAGGCCGGAUUCGAGGGAAUGAAAAACGAGUUAGGACACACAUGGGCUCAGUUUAGCAGAUCGAAGAUUGGCCCAGUGACAUGACAAGAGGUAGUACGGCGAACUCGGUCACUUCACAGCCUUUCCCGUUUGCACACCGGAAGGCAUUAAAUAGCCACCUGACACGGAGUGGACAUAUGAGAAUGAAUACUUAUGGAUCAGUGUGUAGCAGAAAAAGUUCGGUCAAAUGGGAACAAGGAUAAGAAGGGAGGAGAUCAUCCGAGAAAAUCAAGUUUUACACCCCCAUACUGUAGAUCAUACACUUUUCUGGAUUUCAGAAUAUCAAUAUGUUUAUGUAUUUUUUAUCCAAUGAAGAAAUAUGUAUGAUCGUUUAUAUAUAUAUAUAUAUAUAUAUAUAUAUAUAUAUAUAUAUUAUCUAAAAAUGUUCUAAAAAUUCAAAAUAUGCUUUUUUCAAUUUUAUUUUUUUUUUAUCAAUUUUAGUCUAAUUUAAAUUUUUUAAAUCAAUUUUAAUUUAUAGUUAAAAUUGAGAUCGAAAGUCAUUGAGGUAGUGACUCAUCACAUGGUAUGAAUAUUAAUAUUAUAAUUAUUAUAGCUGACGUGACUAAGAGUUUUAUAAUAAAAAAUUUAAAUUUUUUAAUUUUUAUCAAUUAUAAUUUAAUUUUAAAAUUUAAUUUCAAAUAUAAUCAACUUAUUAAUUUUAAUUUAAAUUAAUAAAAAAUAAUAUUUUAUUACUUAAUAAAACAAAAUUUUAGUAUAUUUAUUUAUUUUAUAUAUAUUAUACUAAGUAAAUAUAAUAAUUUAUCACUAUAUAAUGUACAGUUUAACUUUAAUAUAACAAUUUUGAUUAAUUAUAUUUUCUUUUUAAGAAAAAUAUGUAUUAAAAUUAUGCUCGCAAUUUCUCGUUAUUAUUUUAGAAAAUAUUUAAAUAUAAAUAUUUUAAAUGAUAUACAGAUGUAUUUAAAUACUUAUUUAGCACUCAAAGAUAAUUUAUUUUUUUAAAAGAUAAUUUAUUUUUAGAUUUUGAGAAUUUUUUAACACUAUUAAAUAUAAUUGUAUUAAUAUUUUUAUUUUUUAAAUGAUAAUUACAGAAUACAUAAUAAAUUUGAUUCAAAAAAAAAAGAACACAUAAUAAAUUAAUUUUUUUAAAAAAUUAUUAAAAAUAUUUUUCGAAUUUAAAUUAUUUUCUGUGGUGUAAAUAAAUCUAUUUCAACUGAAUAAAAGUUAAUUAAAAUUUUAAAUGGCAGAUAUAAUGAUUGAUUGGACAGAUCAUUAAAGCUAUGGUAAAGGAGUUUUAUUAAAUUGGAAUUAAUUAAAAAUAAAACUUUUUCGUAAGCAUAUGAAUAGAUUAAUUUACAGAUUUUAAAUGUUGGAUCAAUUUUUUUAAAGGCAAAAAAAUUGUAUUUUUAAAAUUAUUAAAGUAGCGAAAUUAUAAAAAAAUUAUAAAUAAUAUAAAUUAUAAAAAAUUAAUUCAGUUUAAUUACAGUAUUUAUUUAAAUUCAUAAUAUUCCAAACAUAAUAAUAUUACUAAAAUAAAUAAAUUUCUUAACUUUUCAAUCCCUAUUUAAAAAAAAAAACAAUCAUAAAUUUUUUCGUUUUAAUAAUUUUAUCCUUUUUUUUCAUAAUAAAUUUAUUAUAAAUUAUGCUCACAUACUUAAUUUAAAAGUUAAUGCUAACUAGAAUUUAAUUUAAGUCUAAGCUUUCUUUAUAUGUGAAAAUAAUUUAUAUUUAAAAAUAUUUUAAUAAAAUAACUUAUUUUCAAUUUUUUAAUUUUAAUUUAAAAAUAAAAUAUUUUAAUAAAUUUAAAAAAGUAAUUUUUUUCCUGAAAUAACUUAAUUUUUUUAUAAAAAUUAUUUUUCAUUAAUUAAUUUUUAAAUAUUAAAAAAUUUGAAAAAUAAUUUUAAUAAAACAAUUGAAACCUAAAUAAUGAAUAAUGGUUGAGGGUUGAUGUGACACUAGAGCGAUGUUUAAGAAAAGUAAUUAACAUUAUAGCAUACAACUUGAUGAUCGCUGGAUUUUUCUACCUCUACAAAGAGCCUAGUCCACCAUGAAAAAUCCAAUGAGCGAAGGCCCACACACCUGGUAUGCGGAGUAAGCCCGGCUCGUUCAACCUUCGAGGCCGGGCUCGACCAAGUUCUCUUACUCAGAUCGGCCCAGUCCGAGCAAUCUCCUAAGCAAAUCCCUUUCUCUCGGGCCCAUCGUCCAGUCCAACUCUUGGCCCAGCCCAGGAUCAAGAAGGAUAUUCACGGGACAGCCUGGCAGAUUCGCUCAACUGUACGCACAGGGAGAAUCAGAGGCCGUUACGCAUGGAGCAGGCGCCUGAUACUCUCGUACGCUCGAAUCUGUAUGGCAGAGACGCGUGGCCCACUCAUGAGGAGGCUGUUACACGUCACCACCAAGCAAGGCGAAAAGGAUAAAAGCGGAGUCCCCUCCCCAGAAAGUUUAAGUUUAUGAUUCAAGACAAAACCCUCUUGUAAAACCCUAUUCUAUUGGAUCUCAGAUCAUCAAGUGGCGCCGUCUGUGGGAAACGAAGGAGAUCUUUUCAUCACCGGAGUUUCCCUUUUAAAAACCCACUGAGAUCCACGAUGGCAAACCAGCAAGAAAACAACCUUCAUGUCCCAAAUGAUUUGAGCUCUGCCCAGGAGGGGCAGCAGUUCUCCUUUUCUAGUCCUACAGCACUAAAUAACCAAACGCCUAUCCCCCUCAACCCCUCGCCAAGCUUGGCAGGAAACACUCCUAUUAUGACCCUGUCUAAUCAGGACAUUCAAACCAUGGCUCUCCAGUUACAGAAUACCGCUCACUGGUUGGGGCAGAUAAUGCAACAGAGGGGCCUUAGCACCCCAGUAAAUACACUUCCGGUGGUAGAAGAACCUCGUACGAAUGAGCCCCGACCUACCUCUGACCGCCCCCAGAACAGCAGCUGCGAUACCGGGGAAAAAGGAAGAAGAGCCGGGGAAGAAGAAGAACCGGAGGCCCGAAUCCAUGGGAGGAGAGCGAGAGAGAUGAUAGAAAACGAGGAGGCGGACAUUCAUUCCGCCGAGACGACCUGGAGGAUAGGAACUGAAGCAGAGGAGGAGGAAUACGGCUUGGAGAGAAGAGUUAGCCCAGAAGAUGAGAAGAUGAACCAGAAGUUGAAAAGGUUGAAAGAGCAGCUCUUAGCCGAGCUAGGCAAGCAGGACCAGAACCAAACCUCUUUGCCUACUUCCUCCCCUUUCUCAAAGUGGAUGCAGCAAGAAACUGUUCCUAAGAAGUUUAUGAUGCCGUCGAUGGCGGUCUAUGACGGAGCUGGUAACCCGAGGGAGCAUGUCAUGAACUAUAAGACCUUCAUGGAGUUACAAACUCUGUCAGACGCCUUAAUGUGUAAGGUGUUCCCAACGACGCUCUCGGGACCAGCACGGGCGUGGUUCAACAGCCUCGAGGCCGAAAGUAUCAGAAGUUUCGGAGAUCUAGCAACCCGCUUCAUCAGCCGGUUCAUAGCCGGAGUGCCAGCAGAAAGGAGGACGAGUUACUUGGAAACAGUAAGACAGAGAGGAGAUGAGUCACCCAGAGAAUAUGUCGCCCGUUUCAAUACGGAGGCCUUGCAGAUUCCCGAGCUUGAUGAAGGAAGGGCGGUAGAGGCCAUGCAAAAGGGGACAACCUCUGCCGAGUUCUUUGGCUCGCUAAGCAGGAAACCUCCGGCCUCAUUGGCCGAGUUGAUGAAGAGAGCGGAGAAGUAUAUAAGGCAGGAUGAUGCCUUGGUAACAAGUCGAUUUGCCAAAGGAAAAGAAAAAGCCCCGGAGGAGAAGAGACCGGAGAGACACGAGAAGAAACAUGGUAAGAGGUUCGCGCCAUACAAGCAGGCUUGGGAGCGUAGAGAUCAAAGACCUCCCCUUCCUGGGGAGCUCGAGUCAAGAUUGCCCCCUCCUUGGGUCCCCGAGAAGCCGACCCCCCUCAAUGCCUCUAGAGCCGAAGUGCUCAUGGCAGUCCAGGAUAAGGAGUUCCUCCAGUGGCCCAAACCCAUGAGGUCGGAAGCAGACCAAAGGAACCCUGACAAAUAUUGUCAGUACCAUCGGACGCAUGGCCACGAUACAAAUAACUGUUUCCAGUUAAUCGCAGAAAUUGAGAGACUGAUAAAAAGAGGGCAACUGAAGAAUUUUGUAAAGAAACCGGAGGGACAGAGGCUUCAACCCGGUCCGGCGACUCAGAUGCCUAGGAGAACGGGAACGGGACCUGUGAAUGAUAGAUCCAGUGGAACCAUCAACAUGAUUGUGGGAGGAACCGGAGGGCGGAUGAGCCGCCGAGGAAAGAAGAGAAAUCGGGAAGGAGAGACCAGCAAUGGGGAAGUCAUGCAGAUCGUUGACCACUCCUCUGUAACCAUCACUUUUUCUCCAGAAGAUGCCCAGGGUAUUCAGAUGCCCCAUGAUGACGCGCUCGUCAUAGAAGCCGUCAUUCAUAAUUAUCGGGUAAAGAAGGUCCUAGUGGAUGAUGGGAGUAAAGUCAACUUGUUACCGUACCGGGUCUUCCAGCAGAUGGGAAUUCCAGAAGAGCAGCUGGUUCGAGAUCAGUCACCAAUCAAAGGGAUCGGAGGAGUACCGGUGCUUGUAGAAGGAAAAGUUAGCUGGCUCUUACCUUAGGAGAAGCGCCCAGGACUCGCACCCAUCAUGAGGUAUUUUUGGUGGUCAAACUUCCGUUGAGCUAUAAUGCAAUUCUGGGGAGGCCGGCGCUGUUCAAUUUUGAAGCUGUCACUAGCAUCAGGUAUUUGGUACUCAAGUUCCCGACAAAGGAAGGAGUGGGAGUAGUCCGGGGUAGCCAAGAAGAAGCAAGAGCAGUAUACUUGGCUACAGUAACAGAACCGAGCUCGACCAGAGAAGUGCUCGACUCUGAAGUUCUGGAGGUUAGAGAUGAGACAAAAGAAGCCCGGACAGAGCCGGUUGGAGAAUUGGAGACCUUCCCCUUAUCAGAAGCAGAGGGAAAUAAGGUCUUCAGUCUCAAUGCCGGCCUCACCGAAGAACAGAAAGGUGAAGUCAUGGCCUUGAUCCGAAGUCACGCGCCGACCUUCGAGUGGAAACUUUCCGACAUGCCGGGAAUUGAUCCUGAGGUAAUGACACACAAACUGAAUGUCCUCCCCGAAGCCAAGCCAGUAAAGCAGAGGAAGAGAGUAGUAGGUAGAGAGAAGCAGCAGGCUACCCGGGAAGAAGUGCAGAAGUUGGAGGAGGCAGGUUUUAUUAGGGAGGUUAUGUAUCCCCAGUGGUUAGCAAAUCCUGUGUUAGUCAAAAAAGCCAAUGGCAAAUAUAGGAUGUGCAUAGAUUUUACUGACCUAAAUAAGGCCUGCCCCAAAGAUUGUUAUCCCCUCCCCGAUAUUAAUAAAAUGGUCGACUCAACGGCUGGCUUCGAUUAUAUGUCUUCCUUGGAUGCUAUGUCUGACUAUCAUCAGAUCCCAAUGGAAAGGUCGGAUGAGGAAAAGACCUCAUUUAUAACUGAAGAUGGAACUUACUGUUAUAGGGAUAUGCCCUUCGGAUUGAGAAAUGCGGGGGCAACCUACCAGAGGUUGAUGAAUAAAAUUUUUAAAAGCCAGAUCGGCAGGAAUGUAGAGGUGUAUGUGGAUGAUAUGGUGGUCAAAAGUUCAACCUUCCAACAACAUAUAGCAGAUUUAAGGGAGGUAUUCGGAGUAUUAGAUCAAUACAGAAUGAAGUUGAAUCUAGCAAAAUGUGCUUUUUUCAUCAGAGGAGGAAAAUUCUUGGGGUUCAUGGUAAGCGAAAAAGGCAUUGAGCCUAACCCGGAGAAGGUAGAAGCCAUACUGAAUAUGCCACAGCCGACCUGUGUAAGGGACGUCCAAAGACUAACCGGGAGAGUAGUGGCACUCAACCGAUUCAUGUCGAGGUCGGCAGAAAAGUGCUUACCAUUCUUCAAAAAGUUGAGAAAGGUGCCAAACUUCGAAUGGACAGAAGACUGCCAGAAAGCUUUUGUAGAACUUAAGAGAUAUCUCAGCUCACCUCACGUGCUCAGCAGUCUCGUGAGAGGAGAAGAACUUCUGAUAUACCUGGCGGCCUCGGAACAAGCAGUCAGCGCAGUAUUAGUAAGGGUGGAGGAAGGAGAACAGAAACCCGCUUUUUACGUCAGCAAAGUACUCAGAGAUACCGAGGUCAGAUACUCGAACAUUGAGAAGAUGGCUUACGCCUUACUGCUAGCAGUCCGAAAAUUUAAAGUAUAUCUGGAAGGUCACCAAGGAGUUGUGAUGACAGACCAACCUUUAAAGAAGAUCCUGCGUAGGCCAGAGACUUCAGGACGGAUGCUGGCAUGGUCUGUAGAAAUCAGCCCCUACUGUCUAGAGUAUCGACCUCGGACAGCUAUAAAAUCUCAAGCCCUCGCCGACUUCAUAGCAGAGUGCGCAUUCAAUGAGGAGAAGGGAGGAUCAUCCUCAGAGAUAUCAAGAAAGGGGGGAGAAAGAGAACCUUCUCAAGAAUUUAACUGGAAGCUGUAUGUAGACGGGGCAUCAGGCGCUGAGGGCAGCGGAGCCGGAAUAAUGCUCAAGGGGCCAGAAGAUUUUAAAGUAUGCUACGCCUUACGUCUAGAGUUCAAAGCUUCGAAUAAUGCGGCAGAAUAUGAAGCCCUGAUAAAUGGGAUGUUGGUAGCGCUGGAAGUGGGAGUAACCGAUCUCGAGAUAAAAAGCGACUCUCAGCUGGUGAUCAACCAGGUAACAGGGGCAUAUCAAGCUAGAGACCCCAUUAUGCAGAAUUAUCUGGCUAAAGUGAAAACUUUAGAAGCCGAGCUCACAAGCCGAGGAGUGACCAUCAGAUUUCAAAGGAUACCCCGGGAAGAAAAUGAGGAAGCAGAUCUGCUAAGCUGACUGUCCAAAGAAGAAUUGGAACAGCUUCCUGAGGAAGUAUAUAUACAACAUGUCCAUAUACCUACUUUCAAUAAAACUAACAUAAUACUGCAGGUAGAACAGGGCCCGACCUGGAUGACCCCAUAUCUAGAAUAUCUGGAAAAGGGCAAGCUUCCCGAAGAUAAAGGAGAAGCUAGAAAAAUAGCAGCUCGUGCCGCAAACUACCAAGCAGUCAGGGGGGCCUUGUACAGAAAGGGGAAAUCUAGUCCGUGGCUCGGAUGUGUGAGCCCGGAAGAGGCUACGAAGGUGAUGGAAGAAAUACAUAGAGGCAUAUGCGGAGCCCAUGAGGGAGGAGGGACAUUAGCUAAUAAAAUAUUCAGAUAAGGAUAUUAUUGGCCUACUGUCAAAAAAGAUACAGAAGAGUUCGUCCGAAGAUGCGACAUAUGUCAGAGAUUUGCUAACGCCAUCAAAACUCCAGCCACUCCUUAAGCUAACAUAUCCAGUCCGUGGCCUUUCUCGCAAUGGGGCAUUGACAUUCUAGGACCUUUCCCCAAGACUACGAGGCAGAGGAAAUUUGUAGUGGUGGCCGUAGAGUACUUUUCAAAAUGGCCGGAAGCAGAAGCAAUAGCCACAAUCACAGCUCGCAAGAUGAUAGAUUUUGUAUGGGGACAUAUCAUCUGUAGAUUUGGCACACCUAGAGUGCUUAUCUCAGACAAUGGCAGACAGUUCGAUUGCAGCACUUUUAGAGCUUUCACAACAAACAUGGGUAUAUGGCAUAAAUUCUCCUCAGUAGCUCAUCCUCAGACUAACCGCCAAACAGAGGUCACUAACAGAGCUAUCCUCCAAGGGUUGAAAAAGCAGCUGGAUGGGGCAAAGGCGAAUUGGGCAGAAGAGCUCAACAGCAUCCUAUGGGCAUUACGCACCACUCCCAGAACGUCUACUAAAGAAACGCCUUUUGCACUUGCCUUUGGCACAGAGGCCGUGGUGCCCGUUGAGUUGCAGAUCCCUACUCAUCGAGUUCAGUUUGCUAGUGAAAGCACUAACGAAGACAAGCUAAGAAACAAUCUGGAUGCCCUUGAAGAAAUCAGGAAAGAAGCCCAAAUCCGAACGGCCGCCUAUCAACAAUGGGCAGCGCGAUAUUACAACCAAAAGGUCAGAGAAAGAAGUUUGAAAGUGGGAGACCUAGCCUUAAGGAAUCUGGAGGCUACAGGAAAAAGAGAGGCUGCUGGCAAACUAGCACCAACCUGGGAGGGACCAUUCAGAGUAACAAAAGUAGUCCGGCCAGGAGUAUACCGGAUCGAAGAUAUGCAAGGAAAUCAGGAGCCCCAUGCUUGGAAUAUUCAACACUUAAAGAGGUAUUUCCCUUGAUAUAUUUGUAAAGAAAGUCAGUUUAUUCUGAACAAAUAUGAAUGAAGUAAAUUAUUUACACGAAGAGACUGUUGUUCACACAAUGAGACUAUAUUUACUAUCUUGAAUAAUAUUCCCCCAUGAAAAAGAAAGAGCAGGGCUCAGAAAAAUCCCCUAGCAGAACAAGACCUCAGUUAGGCACAAAACCAGCUGAGACGACGAAGCGACAGUAAGGCCAAAGAGCCUGAACCUUAUGCCAGACCUCCUAAUAGAACAAGAGAAAAUAACCGGCGAGGCCCCGAGGUCAUCCCGGAAAUACGAAGAAGACCGGGAUCCCCUAGAACUCCCGGAAAAAUAAAGCAAAAAAUAGCCGGCGGGGCCCCGAGGUCACCCCGGAACAAAACAACCAGGAUCCCGUAAGAUCUCCUGGAACAAAAAAUAACCGGCGAGGCCCCGAGGUCAUCCCGAAAAUACAAAGAAGACCGGGAUCCCCUAGAACUCCUGGGAAAGCAAAGCAAAAAAUAGCCGGCGGGGCCUCGAGGUCACCCCGGAACAAAACGACCAGGAUCCCGUAAGAUCUCCUGGAACAAAAAAUAACAGGCGAGGCCCCGAGGUCAUCUCGUAAAUACAAAGAAGACCGGGAUCCCCUAGAACUCCCGGGAAAACAAAGCAAAAAAUAGCCGGCGGGGCCCCGAGGUCACCCCGGAACAAAACGGCCAGGAUCCCGUAAGAUAUCCUGGAACAAAAAAUAACCGGCGAGGCCCCAAGGUCAUCUCGAAAAUACAAAGAAGACUAGGAUCCCCUAGAACUCUCGGGAAAAAACAAAAACGGUCGGUGAAAGAGCCGACCUCACAAAAAGAGGCUCGAGGCGUAAUAUCUAAGAAAGAGCCGACCUCGAAGUAACUACUGGCGCUAAAAGCCGGAAUAAAGAAGCAAACUGCCGAGCCCCCAGCUCGGGUAGGCAUAUGCCCUGAAACGCUCAAGAAGAAUACGGCUAAGUAAUAAGGAAACAAUAGGGAACCGAACUCCCUCCAUAAAAAUGCUUGAAAAACGAAGAAACGUACAGGAGGACAGAUGAAGGCGAAAGAGCUAUACUCAAAGCUCAAACCAGUCUGUCUGGAACAGACAUCCGGACUUGCAAUCAGGAAAAGACUAAAAAGCAGACAUGAUUAGUCACCAUUAAAAGAUAUGAGAUUUGAUCCCUCAGAAUAUUAGCUGAAAACCGAGCUCAUAAUGAAAAGCUAGGUUAGCCCAGAGAAAGCUUACGAAUAAGAGUAGGCAGUGUGAAUGUUACAAGUACAGAUAUAUGCUAAAGAAAAUGAAAAAGAAGCAUAGUUCAAGAAAAUAGGAAUCGAAGUUUCAUUAAAAUAAGUAGUUAUUACAGCUUACUCCUUGGAUGAGGAAGAAGGAAAAAUAGUUCUUAAGGGACUUGCGGUUGUAAUUACAUCCUCACUUACACUAUGUCUAUUUACAACCCUAUCUGAAGAAGGCCCGGGAUCCUUUGGAUCAGAUUUCCCAGUAUCCGCAAAAGGGGCAAUCUCCAACCCUGGAUCGAGGUCCUCUCCAGUAGGUUUGGGGUCGCCCUCUUCAGACUCAAAGGCUCCCGCAUCCUCCUCAUCCGACUUAGAUUCUUCUUCGGAAGAAGAUACAGCCGACGUACCUCCAACGCGGCAGUCCCCUCGGGGCAUGGGGAAGUCAUCUUCUCCAUACAACACCGACUCACCAUCAGAGUCCACUUCUCUCAUACGAAGCUCUGCUAAAGGAGUAUCAGAAGCGUGUCUAGCCUCUCUUAUACCGCGGUUGUAACCAGUUGCAUACAUGCGGAAGGCUUUGUGAAGAAUAAGAGCCUUCAGGUCUGCAGAGGCUUUAUAUUCGUCAAGACGUGCCUCACAGGCCUCAGCUAUAAAUGCCUUCAAUUCAGGAGAAUCUUUGUAGUCCUGAAGGUGAACUUCACAGGCCUGCUCAAUCUUUCUUUUCAGCUCUUCCGACUCCUGAACUUCCGUUAUGCAUUUUUCGCGCUCUAGCCAGGCCCUGUCUUCAACAUGUUCUACUACCUUGAGCAGGGCCGAACAUUUACGCUUCAAAGUCCUAACUUCAUAAUUAAGAUGCUGAUGGCGAAGAUUGAAUUCCUCAGCUGAUGAAGCCAGGUCUCUAAUACGUUCAGAGCUUGUACUCAACUCCUGCUCAAGGACCUUCACCCGAGAUAGGGCCUUUUCCUUCUGAGCAUCCACCUCAUUCAGGCGAACACGAAGUCUUUCGGAUUCAGCCUUUAAGGCCUCAUAUUGACGCUGAAUCUCAGCUCUCUGACUCACGGCCUCAUCUUUCUCUCUAAGGGCCUAUGUCGCAGAAGCCAGCUGCUUUAAAACCUCCGUACAACGAACCUCCACAGCAGCUGCCCUCUCAUCAGACUCCUUGAGGACCCCGCGAGUAUGAGACAGCUCUGCUUCUAAGGACUUGGUAUGCUCUGCUGUCUUAAUCGCCUUCUCCUCAGCUUUUUUAAAAGCAUCCAGCGCAGAGUGCAACUCCAUCUGGAGGGACUGGAUACGCUCCCGAGCAGCACCAAGAUUGCCCCUCGCGUCACUGGUUGCAGAUAAGUUUUCCUCCAGACGCGCCUCCUCAAUCUGGCGGUCCACUGAUUCCCGGAAGGAACGGUCACGAACGUCCACCUCCAUGAGGAGGCCCGUCACCUAACACGGAGGAACAAACGUCAGGAAAAAGAAAUAAAAGAAAUCAAAAGAGAAAUUGAAAAAUAAUUUACCAUCAGGAGCAUCUCCCUAAUUGUAGAUCCCAGCUCCUCACGAGAACGGGAUUGGAAGGACGCUAGUUCCCUGGUAGAACUGGCCAAGAGACCCGUAAGGGCAAGAAGACGUGGAUCCGAGACCUCUGUCAUUCCACCAAACAUUCGCUCUCUAAAAAGCUCGGCGACAGCACUGGCCGAAGAUUGAGAAGUGAUAUCCGCUGCGUUCAGAAUAUUGCUGCCCAGGGAAGACACAACAGGAACAUCUUUCUCCUUCCCAAUAGGAGGGAGAGCUGGAGAAGCUCCCUCGGCAGCCCUGGAUUUCUUCCGAGCUGGAAGAGUAGCAGACAUCUCAGGAAGGGCUGAGCGUUUGUCCCCAGUCUUGGGUGGGACGCCUUCAGGUCUUUCAGACCCAGACCUCACAGAAGCAGGGGCAUCUUGGGCUGAAAUCUCUGGAACUUGGUCCUCUAUAAGGAUGAUCUCCAUCCCUUCCCCAGAGGCCUCUUUAUCCUCAGUAACGGGGGACUUGAAUUUUUCCCCUGAUAUCUCUUUGGAAGAACGGGCGAGAUCCAAAUCCGCCGGCUCGUUGACCCCGGUCUGCUCCACAAUGGCAAGAGGGGUUUCCCUCACCUCCGCUGAAGAAGCUUGAGCAGACUUAGACUCUUCAAUAGGCUUAAUGGUCAAAGCCGACUUGCCGCGACUGGGCAACUUAGAUGAUUUGGAGCUGCGGGCUCUCGGUUUAGGAUCACGAGAGGAAGCCUUGACAGGAGGUCGACUAACUUUCUUGGAAGGGGCAACCUGAACCACCUCUGCAGCAACCUCCGGCACUGGACGCCCAGCUCGAAAGGCAUCGAAAAUCGCGUGCAUGUUCUCCCGGGACAAAACCAGGUUCUUCGGGAACUUGAUCUCAUCCAUUUUUACUUCAGAAGCUGCAAAAAGCACAAAAUCAUGAAGAGUUAGCACACUCCUUGACAUCGCAUAUAAAGAAAAACAGAGCUGUUGAAUAAGGCGAUAUACCCGUGUCCCGGAUAUCCCUAAGGUUAGACGCAAACAUACAUUUCUCGACGUCAUACUUCAUUUCAACAGAAGUCAGUCGAAGUAACCCCACCUGCUCAAUAAGGCUCAAUCGGAGCAGCUCGUUGCAACCCGGGUGGACCUCCUCCCAACUUAGAUCCACUUCCCAGGAUCGAGCGGACUCUAAUUUUAGCUCCGCCACAAGGAAAUGCUCUACUCAUCCCUUUAUGGAAUCUUUAUAGCCCGUGAAAAGGGACAACCCACUACGGGGAGCAAGAUAGUAAAAAUUAUGAACCGUCUUAAUCAGACGGAAAAGAGUGGCGAACAGACACGCCGUGGGUGUAAAACCCCAACUCAGGCAGACAGACUCAAAACAGGACAGGAACAAAACAGAAUUUGGGGUCAACAUCCGAGGGGUUACCCCGAAAUACUCGAAAACCUCGAUAAAGAAAGGAGUAAAAGGAAACGGUAGACCGAAUUCCCUCUGCUUAAGAAAGAACACUAUGCAGCGACCCCUUUGGGGAUCAAACAAACCAGGAGGAGGAGGAUUUGGGAGGACUAUCCUCUCGUUUUCAAAAGGAGCCCGAAUAAGAUAAAGCGGAGUAUCUAAAAGCCUUCGAGGAAUGUGAUUAGUUAUGGUGGAGGAAGUAAUAUGUGACCUAAGAUUGGUGACAUCGGGGAGCUUUGGACCCGCCAUGGGAGAACAAAGAAGCGUACCUGAAAACGCAAUAGGAUGAAGAAAGCAUAAAGAGUCGCAGGAGAGCAGAGAGCAGAAGAGGUUUAAUUUCUUCAGAAGACGAAAAGAAUUCGAAAUGAAAGGCAAUAAUGAGACGGAACGUUGAUCUGAACAGUUUUGUCUUGGAGCGGCGCGAUCAUUAAAUGCUCUCGAAGUUUACCCCCUCAACGGUUAGGUAAUAACCGGCGAGAGGGUAAAAGGGGCAAAGGGAUGACCGCUAGGCUUCUCUACCCCUACAAAAGGCCAGAUCCAUAGUGAUAGCCCAUUAUGAAAAAGCCCAUGCGCCGUAUACAAUGCAAAGCCCAACUUGUCCAAAUCUUAAAGACCGAGCUCCACCAGAUCUUCCCAGUCAAGACGACUUAACCUGCAAGAUGUACAAUUUCACCAUCUCUACGGUAAGUACCGAGGAAAUAAAAAGCAAGGAGUGAAAAGACUCAGAGAUACAAGCAGAUGGGAGCGUGAUAAAGGUCAGACCUGCUCAUCACUUAAAAAGAUGUAAGAUUUGGCCUAUCGCUAUUUAAUGAUAGAUAUGAGAUCAGAAUGAAACAACAAGGGUACCUCGGAAUCACGCAAAGUUGCGAUCUCAGAGUUCAAUCCAUUGAGUAAGGACAGAGCUCACGGGUCGGUUAUUCCAGUUCGGAAAAAGUAGAACAAAAGCCCAGUUGGUUAAGAGAACUCAGAACUCAAUCCAUUGAGUAAGGACAGAGCCCACAGGUCGGUUAUUCCAGAUCGGAAAAGUAGACCGAAAGAUCAGUCGGCCGAAUAGGUUUUAAUUCAGAUCAACUAAGAAGCAACAGUACAGGGAAUCCUUCAGGGAAAAUCACCAAGCAAAUAGUUUCAAGUACUUCAUUCAGGAUAAAGAAAGAACAGCUCAGAUAUGAAGGGAAAGCAUAAGUCUCAUUACAGUGUGUUACGACUGCUUACAUUACAGACAUAGCAUCCAAAGAAGACAUAUAAUCGAAGAUUUACGUGCCUAAAUACAUCAUCAUCUACGAUUACAUCAUUAUCACCUACUCUACUAGUUUAGUCUUCGAUUCGAAGGAUUUCUCGUAGUACGGAAGACGAGCUCUGUAUAUCGGCUGAGCUCUGCCUCGUUAUUAUAGGAGAACUGAACGAGUUGAUUCCCAUAAGCAUUUCUCACUGUUCUCCUAUAGGCCGGUAGCCUGUUGCCCAAGUGUGAUUCACGAUACAUACGAACGAGCUCGGAUAUUAUAUGCUGUUCGUAUAGCACGCAUAAGUCCUCGGGCCACGGCUUCGGAAAGAUCGCAGAACAUAUAUUCGGAGGUAUCGACGGAAGCUUGACUGAGUGCAGCAGAUCUCAGUCUCUCAUAAUGUAAGUACUCCACACUAAAGGGAAUCAUAAGCUGAUCAUUUUCACCACUUCCAUUUAUAUCAAAAGAAGACAACUGGGGCCUCGAAGAAAUUUCCUUGUUCUUCUCGAAAGAAGGCAAAGUUAGAACAGACCUCUCAGCAGUCCAGAACCUCCUUGGAGCUCGGAUAAUAACUGGUGGAGGAGGCCAGCCAGACGACCCAAGUAAGAUAGUUUCAACGACCUGCCAAGUGGUCCCACCCAUCGACCGCACUACCAGGAAGACCUCCAAAACCACGUUCAGACUCCCUAGAGGUAAUACCAAAUUUCCAGAAGGAUGAAACUGACUCAUUUUCGUUUCAGAUACUGCAAGAAAAGCCUCAAAACAGAGAUAAGCCAAAAUAACCUUUUAUCAAGACAAUGAAAGCAGGAUAGAAGCAAACCUCUAGGGCAACAAAGCAAUAAAACCUCAGGAUCACUUCAAUCUAUUUGAAGAAGGCGUUUGACAGAUCCUCUGCGGAUGUAAAAUUCUCAUCUUGACAGAUAAAUCCGAAAGAAAAAGCUCCCUCGUCCCAACAGGAUACCUGAGAAUCAAGAAGAGGUAACGCUAAUGUAUAUAUCCGAAAGUUUGAAUUUUUGUGCAGGAUAGGCAGUACCAGGCUCCCAGCCCACAACGUCAGGAGCCUUAAAAGCUAUUCAUGGAAAAGGAAAGAAAAAGCAUGUCCAGACGAUAAUGGCAGGAAAGCAAAGAUAGCAGAACACUAAAAAUAAUGGAAAGCCGGAAAGGGAAAAAGGCAGAUCAGAUUCAAAAACUGAAAAGUAGCAACAAGACGAAAGGGUGUUAUAAAGACAGUUGUACACGAACAGGCGCGGUCAUAAUGGUUCUUGAUAUUCACCCCCUCGUCAGUCGGAGCAAUAACUGCCGAGAAGGUGAAGGGGCAAUUGAUGACCUCUGGAUUUUUCUACCUCUACAAAGGGCCUAGUCCACCAUGAAAAGCCCAAAGAGCGAAGGCCCACACACCUGGUAUGCGGAGUAAGCCCGGCUCGUUCAACCUUCGAGGCCGGGCUCGACCAAGUUCCCUCACUCAGAUCGGCCCAGUCCGAGCAAUCUCCUAAGCAAAUCCCUUCCUCUCGGGCCCAUCGUCCAGUCCAACUCUUGGCCCAGCCUAGGAUCAAGAAGGAUAUUCACGGGACAGCCUGGCAGAUCCGCUCAAAUGUACGCACAGGGAGAAUCAGAGGCCGUUACGCAUGGAGCAGGCGCCUGAUACUCUCGUACGCUCGAAUCUGUAUGGCAGAGACGUGUGGCCCACUCAUGAGGAGGCUGUUAUACGUCACCACCAAGCAAGGCGAAAAGAAUAAAAGCGGAGUCCCCUCCCCAGAAAGUUUAAGUUUAAGUUUAUGAUUCAAGACAAAACCCUCUUGUAAAACCCUAUUUUAUUGGAUCUCAGAUCAUCACAACUAAUUCAAUUAAACUAAAUUUGUUAAUGGAAAAUUAUAAAACAUUAUUAAAAAAUAGACAAAAAUGCUAAUUAGAUCUUAUGCUAUGAGUAAAUUUAUUAAUUAAUUUUUAAUUUUAAAAAAUAUAUUAAUUUUUUUGAAAUUUUAAAAUUCUACUAAUUAACCUAUUUGACUAUGUGUUUGUGUGCAGGUGGAAUGGAAUUUUCGCCUUUCAGCUGCUUAUAGUUGGAAGGAGCAUCGGGUUUGCUUUUAAGGGCCAAUACCUCCUGGAGAUAUUUUUGGCACUACUCAUUCUCAGUUCCUAGUCUCUCAGAAGGCAAAAGUGCUUAAGGUGCUCUACUUGCCACUGUGACUAGUAGUUUAUAUACUCACUUUGCACUAAGAAAAUAGGAUAAAAUGCUCCUUUACAAGUUUUCAAAGUACGUCUAACUUGAAAAUUCUAAUUAAGAGAAAAGAAAUCAGGGUCGAUCAUAUCUCAUCCCUUGAAGGUAGAUGAGUAGUAGUUUUUCAUGCAAAAAGCAAAGCAACACUGUCUUGGUUUGCAAUUAAUGGCUUGUAUUGCUUUGUCUAUUGCCAUACAUUUGAGAAUUUUUAGUGUAUAGAUAAUAAUUUCAUAGUAGUAAUUGACUAUAAUGAAUUUCAUGUAGAUCCCACUUUGAUCAAUGGUCCGCAUCUAGACAAAGUUCCUCUUCCUGUUCCUCAUGAUUUAUCCUGCGAAUGUCUUGUUUUUCAAUCUUUGAAGAGAAUUUUCAUCUUCCUUAUCUUCUUCAAUUCUGCUUCUCUUUUUAUCUCUGGAAAGACGAUCCUCUCGAAAUAUAGGAUGCACUCCACACAUUAUUAUAGAAUCGUAAGCACGAUCCACACGAUAUGUUGGCUUGGAUGUGUGCCUGGAAAUGCAGAAUUGAAAGGAAGCUUCAAGGAAACUCUCUUCCAUGUCCAACAGUUCAUUCCAAAGGAACACAUGUUCUGAAUAUAAGGGAUCAGAUACAAAAUCCAGGGUCUCGAAAACGAAAUUUUGACUGCUAUGUCCAGAUUUACCGACGAAGUUAGCUAUGCAACUAAUGUCUAUAAUACGAUCAUGAGAAUAAUUUUUUGGAUCAAAAACAGCACAUAAAGAAAAACCAGUCAAAUUUGCCUGAUCUAGUCUGAAUGAAAGAGAAGAUCCACUUUUGUUCUUAUAUCUCAUCGUUUCAGGCACUUCAGCCCCCGCUAUGUAUAACUUAACAAUCUGUACCAUGGAAAUUAUAAAUUAUGUUAUGAAAUCUAAUAAUAAUAAACAAAAAUUGUACACUCAAGAGGGUUGAUUCUUGUAAGACCAGAGAAAGUAAGGCAUACCUUGCGUUUUAACAGAUGCGUCUUCAAUACAUCCUCCAUUACUUUAUCAUUUACGUUCCUAUCCAAAUUGAUGCAAUUACGAAACUCAAGUCGUUUUUCUUCUUCUUCAUCAUCAUGUUCUAAGAAAAGGGAUGAAGUUGAUGCAGAUUCCAAAGAUGUGCAAUCUGAUGCAUCUAACUCUUCUAAGCAUGACGGAAGCUCUGGUAAACAUUUAAGUCUCUUGCAACCUUUUAAUGAAAGCCACUUCAACUCAGUUAGAUGUUUAAUGCUUGCAGGUGUCGUCUUGAAAUUGUUUCCACCUAAAAGUAAGCCUUCCAAUGACACUAAAAACCAAAGACUCUGGGGAAUUUCUAAUAUACCACAGUCACUUAAAUCAAUUUUCCUUACACAGGACAGACCUGUCAAAGGAGGCAAUAUAAAACCUUCACAUCUCGAACAUGUUAACUUUUCCAAUCUUCUCAAUUGAUUGAUGGAGGAUGGUAAUGUUUUUAUUCCACUUCUAGAUAUAGAGAGGUUCUUCAGCAAUUCUAGAUCCCCCAUGUUCUCUGGCAAUGCUUUGACAUUCAAACAGCCUGAGAUAUAAAGGUGUGUAAGAGAUUUCAAAUUGCAGAUGCUUUGUGGAAUACUAUGCAGUUUUGAGCAGUAUCUGAGAUCAAUUUCUUUUAGACAUUUAGACUCGCCAAUGCUGCUAGGAAUCUCAAUCAAGUUUCUACAUGCUAUCAAAUAUAAAACCUCAAGAUUUGGGGCACUAGACAAGUCUGGAACUUUAGUUAACUCAAAAGAGUAGCUGAGGUCUAAAAAUUUCAAACUUUCAAGAGCCUGUAAUCAAAACGUCAAUAAAAUUAGCAGAAGCUAAUUAACUCUGCACAAUGUAGCUAAAUUUUAUAAAGCAGCAUAAUAACUCUAACCUUCUCUUGAUUCCAGAGUUGGAUGAGGUUGCUCCGUGGCAUGUGAAGUUCUACAAGAUUUCUCGGGCAAAAAUUUAUUGGCAAGGAUUUCAAAGGGUACCCUUCCCAAUGAUGAUAUCUUAGCUCCUUUGGUAGAAAUUCAAGGCCACUAGGUAGAAGCACUCGUCUUGGUCUGGAUGUAGAAACAUUGAAGAAUUUGAGAAAUCUAAGAUUGCACAUGUUCAUGAAAGCUGUGGGACUUAGCUCCAAAUAUCCAUUUCCAGACAUAUCAAGUAAUAUGCCUUCAAUAUUUUCAGUUCCCUAAGAAAAUAACAACAAACAUUAUAGGCACUGCACUUAAUUCUUAAAACUGCAUAUAAAUAAUAUCUAUGUAUAAUUAAGAAUAUGCACAUUAAUUCUUUUGGUCCAUACCUUGUCUCUUGUCAAUACAUGACAAAUAUCCUUAUAUUUCCACAACCUGCUGCGUGUCCCAAGUUGUUUGGACUCCUCACAAACAACAUCCUUGCCCAUUUGUUGUAGCAAGUCAUGCAUGCCUACCUUACCAUUUGAAACAGUUAUGAGAGAUUUAUCAAUUAAACGGCUUAUCGCUCUUCUUGGAAAGAAACCACAACCUUCAAAUAUUCUUUCGACACGAUCUUUAGGCUCGCCUUUAAGGAAACAUGCAAUAUCAAGAAAUAUGAUCUUUUCAUGACGUUCUAGUCCAUCAUAACUUAUUCUCAAAACUGCCUGAAUAUUCAUAUCAGGAAUUUCUUUCAAUUUUUCCAACUCACUUUCCCAUUCUUCAAUCCCCUUAUUAUACAAAUUAGAGCCUAAAAUUACAAGAGCCAAUGGAAUACCUUGAGCAUAUGUUAUCAACUUCUUUGAUAUUUCCACAUAUCCUUUCUUGGGAUGAUUUUGUUUGAAGGUAUACAAGCUAAAGAGACAAAGAGCUUCAUCAUCAGUUAAUUUUUCAACCUUGUAUUUGUAUCCCUCCGAACAAACAUUUUUAAGUACUUGUCUAUCUCUGCUUGUUACAAUGAUUCUACUACCAUUGUGGUACAAAGCACACUCUCCUGCUAAAAGCUUUAGAUGGUUUGGAUCAUCCACGUCAUCAAAAACAAUGACAACCUUUUUACUCUGAAGUCUUCUCCUAAUGAAAGGGGGUAGCCGAGGUGUGCUUACAUUUAAAUUCUUUUCUCCUAACAAUUGGUUAAUGAUUUUAUCUAAUAAAACAACAGGUGUUUGUUUUCUCACCUCCUCUCUGACAUUAACAACAAAACAGUGUCCAUCAAAUUUAUCCAUAAUUCGAUUAAAUACUUCACCAGCAAUAGUUGUCUUGCCAAUACCUCCCAUCCCCCAAAUUCCUAUUACUCUUCUAUCAUUUAUUGAUUCAAUACAUAACAAGGAUUCCACUUUCUUCAGACGUGAUUCAAUCCCAACUAAGUUGUCAUUGUAAGAAUCACUUGAGGAGAUGAGACUUAAUUUCUCCCAAACAUCAUUGGCAAUUUCCUCAACUAGUUUGGAUUCAGACCUAAUACAUAUGAAGAACAAAUGCUAGUAAGUCAAAGCAAACCACCCUUAGAGGCUUAGACUCGCUUCUAAGUAAAUUGAUAAUAUACGAUUACAUAUACAUGCAAACAAAAACAAGAAUAGUAAAAAAAUCAACAGAAUUACUUGAUUUUCCGUGAAUCCCAUCCUGAUAAAUUGCUUAUUGCCGUCAGAGCACGACGCCACUUAUCCACCUUGUCUAAACAACCUUUGACUUCUUCUCCAUGCUUAGCAACCGCAAAUGCCUCGCCGAAAUCCCCAAUGAGAUCUUGAACAUCAGUUGGAUCUACAUUGUAAAAAAUUGGUAGGACUAAUCCUUCUAAAUUUCCCUUGCAUUCAAGUAUCUUCACAAGCUCAUCCAAGCACCAUGGAGAAUCUGCAUAAUUUUGAGAGAAAACAACAAUUGAGACAUAAGAAUCUUUAAUUGUUUCCAAGAGAGCAGGUGAGAUCUCUUCUCCUUUACGAAGGUCUUCAUCCAUGAAAAGAUUGAUUUGUUUUCGCUGCAAAGCAUCAAAGAGAUGGGAGAGAAAACCCACACGAAUAUCUUUGCCUCUAAAGCUAAUAAAAACAUCAUAUUUGCAAGGAGGGGUUGAAGAAGUAGCAUCCAUAGAUGAGUGAUGAAAGAAUGCUUGUGUAACUCCAACUGAGCUUGAAGAAGUUAAAGAGAGCAAGUGCCGUGCUAGACAAGCCAACAGGACUCUUCCUGGAAAAUGAUAUCUAAAUUGAAGUCGUCACCUAAUCGUCCGUAGAAACUUCAAGGAAAGAAACCCAAAACUUGCUAUCUAGGCAUGUUGCUAUCUGACACUCUUCUUCUCCUUUUCGCCUCAACUUUGCCUUGUCCACAAUCAGCCGGCUUCAGUUUCUCUACCACAAAUUUACAUUUUUUUACAUACAUUGAGUCUAUGAUUUCCAAUAAUAUCAGCCAUGUUAGUUUGACUAGCAAGAAGUGCUGUUGAAGAAUAAUAAUUUUUUUAUUUUAAUUUAUCUUUUAAUCUUUCUAUAUCAUUAAAUAAUAAAUUAUUAUGAAAAAUUAUAUAAUCAUUUUGGAAAUUUGUGAGAUAAUUUAUGAUAAUAUUUAUUUUAAUAUUUUUAAAAAUUAUUAUAUGUAAUUUUUGUGUACAAAAAGAUUUUAUAUGUUCGUGAAAAAUAAGAGAGAUAAUUUGAAUUUUUUUCGUAUGUGAUUUUCUAAUGGACUUGUGAAGUGAAUUUUUUUUUGUGUGAGAGAAUUUUUGAUUUUUGAGUCUUAAAAAUAGAGCAGUUUAAUAAUAAUUUGAUGAGAAUGGGUCCUCCAUUUUUUAAUGGAGAAAAUUAUCAUAUUUGAAUAAUUAAAAUGAAAUCUUAUUUAGAGUUUGUGGGAUGUUGUUAAAACCGAGCAGAUUCACUUAAUCUUAGUCCUGAUCCAACUCUAAAACAAAUCAAGAAUGAUGAAGAAUUAAUAAAGAAAAAGCUGAGAGUUUUAAUUUGUUUGCAUCUUAGUUUGAUGGAUAUGAUUUUUAUUAGAAUUAUGAAUUGUGAAAUUCUAAAGGAAGUAUGGAAUAAGUCCAAAGAGAAGUUUGAAGGGAGCGAUAGAGCAAAGACCGUUGACUUCUCACACUAAAAAGGCAACAUGAGAGAGAAAAAAGUAAGAAAAAAUAACUUAACGGAACAAUAUUGUUUCAUUCUAUUAUGUCGUUUGUUAUUGUUAACACUGUGCCAUUUUUCCUUGAGUAUAAUAUUUCACAAGCCUUCUGCAGAAGCCAAGUGAAGAGGCAAGCAGCAAAGAGAGUCUAACUCCUCGGCUAGUUUGGGCUUCCGCUUGAGGAGUGCUUGUGCAAAUUGAAGGUGACCUCGCAUGGCUGCAAUGUGCAAGGGAGUUUCAUGACAGGAAGUAAUGGUGACCCUAUCAAGAAUGAGUUGAUCUUGUUGAAGCAAUGCAUCUAAUUCAGCUACAUCCCCUUUCAGUGAUGAUUGAUAAAUGAUAAGCUGAUCAUGCUCGAUUGAGGGGUUGAGGUUCUCUAUAGACAUCCUAUGCAAAAGGGGGUGGUAAUAGGGUUCUGGUUAGAGGAUGCUUGCUUUUUAAGGAGAAUAAAGACGACAGUAAUAUAUAUAAAUGAUUUUACAAUAAAGCUGAUGACCAAUUUACGUGGUUAGAAUUGAUUUUGGCCAAUAUUUGGCACCUGUUAUUACCAGAAAUGCCUGGUAAUAUCUUGAAGUUUCAAGACAUCUCAUGACAUGUUAGAACUUUGAAGACAUCCUUAACAUCCUUAUUUCAUUAUCAUUAGUCAUUAUUAAUUCUUCAUCUAUAGCUGAAAGGAAGUAAAACGUGUUUAGGGGUGACAUCAAAGUGAAAUUACAAUAAAGGUCGUCACUAAGAAACACCUUUAUAACAAAAUAUAUAGAGAAUUACUUUUAAUUUUGUAAAAAAGUAAUUAAUUCAUUUUUAUUUUAAAAUCACUCGAUUAAAUAUUUUUAUUUCAACGAGAUAAUUUAUUUUUAAUUAUUCAGUUUUAAUUUAAAAAAUAAAAUUUAUUAAUAAAUUUAUAUGUAAAAUUUUAAUUUCAUUAUUUUUUAAAUUAUAAUUAAAGAAUGCAAAAUUAUAAUUAACUAAAAUUCUUUCUAUCAUAUUGUCGUAUGAUAUUUUACACACAAAUUAACUUAUUUAUUUAUAUUGUUUUUACUAUAUAUUUAUUCUAUUUUUAUUUUUUAACUGUCAUUAUUUUUAUUAUUAUUUUAAUUUUUAUAUUUAAAUAAUAUUUUUUUCGUUAAUAAUUUUUACCAAAAUUUAUGAUUAUAUUAUUUAUUUUUACUAAAGAUAUAAAUAAUUCUUCUUAUUUACUGCAGUAAGCACACGUAUAUUUGUUUCAUAAAUAAUUUGCAUAAAUAUAUUAAAAAUAUAAUAUGAGAAAUAUAAACAGGAAAAGUUUUAUAAAUUCUAGGGAGAUUUACAAUUUAGUUCAUGUGUAUUGUCAUUAUUAACAAGUCAGUUUCUGCAUUUUCAGAAACUUAUUAAAACGUCCUUACAUAAUCAAACCAUUAACAAAUCAGUCCUUCCAUCCACUGUUAUCCUUUUUUCCGUUAAAAAUAAAAUGAAAAGACCAAAAUAACCUUAGUGUAACUUUUCCCUAAAUCGAUAAUCUCUCUCCUCUAAUCCCUAACCUCUCUCUUCUCCCAAAAAUGAAAACCUCUCUUCUCAAAUCCCUAAUUUCUCUCUUCUUCCCUAAUCGAUAACCUCUCUCUUCCUAAAUCCCUAACUUUCUGUCUUCUCCCAAGUCGAUAACUUCUCUUCUCAAAUCUCUAACUUCUCUCUUCUUCCCUAAAUCCUCUAUUCUCCAUUUUGUUGGUUUUUGUCGAAGAGAAAUUAGUUUCUGUCGAAGUGAAGUUGUGGUCCCGAUUUUGUUGGUUUCUGUCGAACAAGUGGGGAAAGAUAACUUUUUGUGCUUUCUUUUGUUUGUUUUCUAUGGAUGUGUGACCAUAAAGUUUGUAUUAUAGUAAAGCAUGUGGGUACCACUUACUGUUACUGAUAGUUUUAGUGUAUUUUUUUUUUGGAGAUUUUAUAUAAUUAAAGAAUGU
rnacentral:lncRNA from 1 species